GCAGUAAUGGUAUAUGCCUUCUCCCAAAGUAUGUGGUAUUUUUGGUAUAAGGCAUAGUGAUAUUGCCUCCUCUCUCACCCUACUCUAAUAAGGUUUUAAUAUCUGGAGCUCAUAGGUGGGAGAUAGCUAAUACAUACUUACAAGACAUUUAUUGCAUAGUCAAACCAUGGAUCCAGAGGAACAAGUCAAUAAGUCAAACCAAGAUGUGCAUGUGUGGCGAGUGAAUGGUGUAUGGUGAUGAUGGUGAUAACAAUGGUGAAAGUCUAAUUCUACUUUUGCUCUUUUGAGGGGAUACAUACCUUUCUUGCACUUUGAAGCUUUUUGAGGAGAAUGAGAUGCUCUAUAUUUUCUUUUUCUUUUCUCUCAGGUGGGUAUCUUGUACCCCUAAUUCUACUGUCGGACACUUGUCCAUUUUUACCCCUCGUCUCACUUUUUCUUUUCUUCGAGGUUCCGGGCACUUGCCCCUUUUUAUUUCCUCGUAUUUUCCUCUUUUUCUUCUUUUUUUUAGAGCACUCAUCUCCUGAAAUAAUAUAGCAAGUGGUAGUAACCAAGAUAACUCGAGCAUUUAUUCCACAGGGAAUAACAGGGAAAGGAUAAUGUUUUUGGCUAUUCUCUCCUAGAUAGGAGUAGAAUAAUUUUGGGUGAAUCUAGAGAUGGAAAUGAGUGGAUAUAUGUGGAUGCGUACUUCUGGAGUAAAAGCAGCAUGUGUGAAUGAAUAUGCAAGUGAAUCUUGAUUUUAGCCACAUGACAAGCUCCUAAGGGUCUACACAGCUUGACCACACUCAGUGCUCAUAAGCAGUAAAAAGUAAAUAUGUGGCUCAAAGUCUAGCAAGCAUGUAUAUAUGGCUGUGGUAGGAAUUUAAACUCUCAUCAUAUAGGAACUCAUCAUGUGUUAUCUUAAAGAUUUUCAAAGAUAAAAUUCUCCAGAAUUCUAGCAUCUCUAGGAACAGAUAAACAGCAGCUCAACCUUCCCAUAUCAUAUCCGUUAACGACUUAGACUUUAGAUCAAGUACUCUUCCCACAAGUUCAGGUUUAGAGCAGGUUUAAAUUAUAACAGUUAUGCCUAAACUUGAGAGAGAUUUUAAUUUUAAGAACUAGUCAUGGCAGAGCAACUAUUCAUCAUUCCAUGUGAGAGUUUAUCAUGAGGGUUCAUAGCAAACUUUAUUUAUUUAUUUAUUUAGCAAACUAAGCAAAGAUAUAUAUAAAAGCACAAAAUCUUUAUUUGGGUUUUUAUGAUUAUGCAUCUUUUUAUUAUUUGAGUAAAGUAUAAACGCGAGUAGAAACACUUAGCUGGAUAAAUGGGGGUGCUCUCCCCCAAGCUAGAUUUUGACGUAAUUUCUUCUGAUGUAGCUAGCAAGUGACGGAGGUAUAUUUAAAUGUUGGCAGCACCCUGACAGCGAUUAGGAUGUCCUCCGUCUGCUAGUCUUCUUUGAUCCUUGAAUUUUGUGGAGCUCAAAUAGACAACAAAGCUUUGUGGAACUGGUUAAGUGUUAGCAUAAAAUCUCUUUGCCUUUAUCAUAUUGAGCUUUCUCCUAAUAAAUUUUAUUUAGCAGGAUCAUGCACUUAUUAUUUUUAUAUUUUUAUUGUAAGAUAAAAACAUAUUUAUUUUACGCCACCACAGUCAAUAUACCUAUGGGUUUUUAAACCACAAGUCUACUCACAUGGGGCUUACUAUUUUAAACAUUUUUAUUUUCUUUUCAAGAUGAUAUGAACCUGAUUAACUAAGCAAACUAUUGAAAGGAAAAGGAUAACUACCAAGUUUACCUCUUGGCAAGGCGUUCGGUGUUUUUAAGUUCUCCGAACGGGACUCUCCGUUUUCCCAGUCGUUCUGGGAUUCGCUGGAUGGCGUAGUCGGUGAUUCCGGCGGCGCCUCCUUUUCAUGUAUAACUAUCUUCUCUCUCCACACCUGACUCGGUGCUACGGUCUCCUCAGGACAGUUCUGUUCAAGCUGUAUGUCUUCAGACCUUACCACUUCUCCUUCGUACUCUGCCCAUCUGUCCUUGAUGAUUUGCCUCCUCUGGUUGCGGUUGCGUUGUCUUCUUGUUGUCUUGACCUCCUUAGAGUUUUCAACUAUAUAGUUAGGGUCAGUAAAACAGCGGCAUACCUUCUUAGAGGAGAAGUGUAUGUGGACUUCUCCGAUUCCAAUAUAGAUGAUGGCUUUGAUAGUGUUGAGGAACGGUCUUCCAAGGAUGGUAGGUAGAUCGUACUCGUCUUCUCCCAUGUCAAUGCCCUAAAAAUCAUCUGGAGCUGAAUGUAUGUUGGUUGUAGAGGCAUGGUUCCAUGCAGGAGCUGAUAAGUGACUGCGGCCAUUAUGUUGACGUCAGAUCUGGUGUCGUAGAGUGUCUUCUGAAAAGAGUAUCCAUUGAUUGUGCACUUGAUGCUUGGAACACCAGGGUCGUCUUUCUUGAUCAGGAAACCCGACUUGAGUCGACGAUGUUGACCUCUUCCGACAAGGAUCCAAUGUUUUAAGUCUUCUGGACAAGACUUCUCACCGUCUUCAUCCUUUAGGUGCAUCAUCUGAUUAGGUGUGGACCUUGACGUCUGCACUUCUUGAUACGGUGUCACCCAUGUUCUUCAUUUUCCAGUAGUUCAAAGUGCGGCGUUAGCAGCAUCUUGCUCAGUGUGUUUGUGCUUGUAGAUCCAGGUCCUUCACUUGGUGGAAUCUGGGAGUUGUAAAACUCCUUCAUGUUUUGCUCGAAGUGUACCUGUUCAUAGAGACAAUGCAGAGAUCAAGUGCAAGGGCCCUGUUGGUGGAAAACACCAACAGAACCAAAAGUGUAUUUGUUCUUCUCUAACCUUAAGCAUAGUGAGCAAGACAAAGUUGAUGGAUCAUGAGUAUAGCAUUUGUCAGAUCGGAUGGCUCAACCUAAUGGAAAGAUAGUCUAUCUAUAUUUAUGUUUUGUUUAUAUCUUCCAAAGAUUGAAUGUGCAACAUAUUAGCUUAUAUGAUUAGGACUGUGGGAUCACGAAGGUAGUACUAAGAAUAAAGAUUAAAGCACUAAACAUGCUGAAUCAGUUAGGUUGGUUAAUUUAGAGUUAUAAAUCAUACAUGUUUGUCUCUUUAUUUAUGUGAACGCUAGAACCAAGGAGAAGCUUAUAAAAGCGAUAGUCAAGUACCUUAAGAUGUUACCUUACUUGAAGAGUGAUGGUAUAGUAUCACCUUGUGGAAGCUUUCCUUUCUUAGCGGUUUUGCAUCGUGUUUGUGGCACCCUCCAUGGAUCAUCUCUUGUGAGCUAUGCCUUCCUGGUGUAAAUUGUUAACCUUCAUGUGUCUCGCUCUUUGUCUCCAAUGUGAGUUUGUAUCUCAGGACUUCCCAUGUUGAUAUUGAAAGUUUUUUCUGCAGGGGUUAGUCCGACAAAAUAUACCAAUGUCUACACAAGCAGUUUUUAGUUCAAUAACCGAACUAGACUCCAUGUCUAAUCAGAUUAAGGAAGGCUGUUUAACCUAAGCACCAUGCUUAAUUUAAAUGCCAAUAGAAGUAUGUGCAGUACUUCCAAACUAACACUUACUAGGAUAAACAAAGGUAGCAUGAUGGCAUUUAUAGAGAUCUUGUGCUUGUUAUUCAUCCGAUCUUCUUGCUCCAAUCCUGGAAAGGUUAGUGGCAAGAGUACCCGAAGGAAUAUUUCUACAAUUAUCUCUAUAUGCUCAAUACACAAGGCAAUGUUGCAAAUAAUUAGAAGUUCAUGUCACGAUCUGAUAGGUGCUUGUUUUAGGACACUAAGCUUGUCCUUGGGAAACCAUCAAUUUAUGUCGGCGAAGUGGUUUCCCCUCCAACGCUGACCUAUAUCAAGAUCAACGAGAUCUGCAAUAUUUAUUAUAGACAUAUACAUCGACAACCGCCCUUUUAAAGUUUUUAUAAAUAGAAAGGAGGAGGGGGUUGGAGAUCUCAAAUGUGGUAAGGAUGGAGAGACCAAUUGAUUGGGGAGAUGUUUUAUAUGAGUAAGGACUUGGUGAGGUAUUUAUGAAAUAACUUCCAUGCUCACUGUUGUUCCUCUCAUUCUCAAACUCCAAGGAUGAUUCUUCAUGAAUGCUUAAAAUUCCUCUAGGAUUGUCUCUCAAGUUUGUUUUAUCCAUCCAUUCAAUGGUGAUAGCACAUGGAUUUUUAAUGCCCUCUAGCCAUUGAUGUUGCUCUUCUCGAUCCUCCUUGUGGUCUUGAUGACUAUUAUGAAUGGGAUGUCUAGAGAGAUUCAUAAGAUCAUUGGGAGGUUCAAGAGAAAGAGCAUAGUAGAAAUUAUUAAGCUCAAGGAUGGGUUGGAUAGCCGAAUUAUAGGAUUGAAAUGUUUGGAAAUCGGCUAUUGAAACUUCCUUUCCUUGUCUGGGAGAUGAUUCCUUCUCUAUCUUUAGGAAUUUUUUAUGAAGACUAGUAUAAGAAGGAUGUCCACAAAUGAAGACAUACCUUCCUUUACUAAUAGAUAAAGAAAGAAAGACUCUACCAAAGGUUUAUGAUUAAGACCAAUGUGAAAAUAUCGAGAAAAAACAUGGUCUUGUAGGGCUAGGUUUAAACCAUAAUUUAUAGAAAGAUUAACAGAUUCCCUAGGUGUAGCUAAAAGUGCAUUAUCUUCUUGAUUAAAAGAUAGGACCUCAGCUGUAGAAAAGGGUUGGUUUUGACCUAUUGCAAUCAACCCCGGGCACAGAUCAUAAUUAGGGGCAGGACUUGUUGACUCCCAUGGUCUAUGGCUGGUCUCCGAAGGUGCAAAAAAUUCAAUAAUAGGUAUGGAAUUUAAGUUAUCCAUAAAGAUAAAAAUAAAAAGAUAAAAGAAUAAAAGUAUAAAAGUAUAAUACAAGAUAAUAGCAAGACUUAAAGUUAUCUCAGCAAACCGUCUUUCUCCCCGGCAACGGCGCCAGAAAUGCUUGUUGAUAUUUGGUAACGCAAUAAGGAAAUGAUCCGCAAGCGCACGGAUAUCGGUGAGCAUUUCACCCGGGAGGUUAUCUAGAGUUAUCGUAUUUAUAUUUUUACCACUAGGAGAAAGGGUGCAUCUGACUAACCAAAUCUAUUGCUACUAUCCCUUUAGGCUACAAAGAAUGAUUCUCGAUGUGAGUGAUGUAUAGAGAAGACUCCAACCGUAGUCUCGUUCUAACCUUGGUAAAGAUGAUCUACUGUUCUAUUGGGGAAGCUUAUGGAAUCUAGACACCACAAAGGAUGUUCGACCCGCACCUAUAAACCUACCCGUCCUGCUAACAAGAUAUGGGAUACAAAGGUAACUCGGAAAUGUCACGUUCCUCGCUACUAGCACGGUCCAGCUAGUCAGGGGAUAUCUAUGAGUACCCUAGCCUAAACACCACAUUUAUGCUAGGAAUGAUUACUCUAAUACUCAACCGGAAGAGGAUUAAAAUAAACUCAUAAACCAAAGAACAAUAAAACAAUUACUUACUAGAAUUAGAAGUCGAAUUACUGAAGAAUCUUAGAAGCAAGUCUCGGGUUAGAAGACUUGAUCCCGUAGGUACAACUCGGAGUAGACACCGACAGGCCGGCCUUCCUCCGAUCUACACCUCCACUCUAUCUCUCUCAAUCUAGUAGAAACUAGAAGAUCUAUUUCAACUUACAUUGGUUGCUAAACCUAAAAAGAAAUUCUAUUUAGAGAAGAGGUUUUCCUUCGAGGGCACCCCUCAACUCUAUGAUAAACUUGUCUCCUCCAGGGGCCAGGGGGUCUGCUUAUAUAGUCCUCCUCAUCUGUGCAUUUUUGGUCCAGCAGGUGAUGUGGUACUACGUUAUCCUUGAUCCUUUAGGUCGGUCGAACGUCGUGUGCGAAAAGAGUCCCGAACGGAGUCCAGAGAGGGGCGGGCGCCCAGGUCCUCAGGGUGGGCGCCCUGGGCCUGGCCCCUUUCGGCCUCUGCUUUCUUCUCAUGGCUUCUGGAGUCUUCUAGAUGGUAGAAAAUUAUGCGGUGCGUUGAUAUCUCUAUGUAAUCCCGACAUGUGGGCCUUUCUUCCUUAUUUCCUGAUAACCCCCUGCAGAAAUAGACAAACAUCAAAACUCGUGGAAUUCUCUCAGAUAAAACCCUAAGUCUGGGUGUUGGUUGCAUUUGGAUCCUUUUCUUUAUUUAUUUGAUGAUUAUAUUUGGUACUUAAGGACCGUCAACAAGGUACACAAAAUAUCUAGACACCAUGUCUACAUAAUGUGCACCACCUGACUCACUCGAGUACUGAAUCAGGCGCUUUACGAUCAUAUAACAAUAAUCAUCAUAAACCACAUCUAUAUCAAAUAUGCAACUAGAAUAAACUAAGAACUGAAUAAAUAGCAAUAUAUUAAAGUAGACCAAAGUCAUAAUGAAAUACAACAUAAUAUUACCAAUUUCUAGAAGACAGAUCUGGAAUCCCGAGCGGGGCGCCUCAUCUCUACUUGAAACUCGCUAGAUGCCUAGACUAAGAACUUGAAGAACUAGAGCUCUAUUUCUAAUCUCUUGAAACCCUAACUUCUGACUACUCUUGACAAAUGAAGCAGGAGGAAUGAAUUGAAUCUGGGGUCAUCUUCUAGGAGGGGGGUCUGCCCCUCUAUUUAUAGCCUAGUGGAGUGCACACGCGCUGUUGGAUCAAACCGACUUAACGAGCGGUCGAGAUGGGUCCUCAGAGGUGGUGGAAGAAGCUUUCGGAAGGGGGGGGGCGAACCCUAACUACAGGGGGGCCGGCGGUAGGGUGGUGCCAGCUGGCCCCACCUAGUAACCGUUUGCUCCCUUGUUGCGCCUGGUGUCUUAUGGAGUCUUCCUAAAUCCACUGGUGUCGCCCUUCCGUCACGGAUAAGUUUUGUGGCCAAUUAACACCUUAAUCCCUCUUUUCCGUGCUUUCUGAAAUAAUCCCUGAACAUCACAGAAUAUGCAAAACUCGUGGAAAUUGUCAGUUUAAACCCUAUACUAGUGUGUAUUCAUGUUUUCCCUUGGGUUUAAUGUUCUAAUAAUAUUUGAUGUUAUGGACCGUCAACAAGAACCCAGAAGCAUCAGACCUUUAUCCUUGCUCAAAGCCUUGUUCCUCAUCCUCUGUCCUUUCUCCAUAGGUACUGAAUGAAUGUCUUGGAGCUUCUCCUGAGGGACCUUGCCCUGUGGGGAUGAAUGGUGGUGGUGGAUAGUACCCAUAUGGAUGGUAGGUAGGAUGGAACGGAGGAUACAUCCUAGGAUUCAGUGCGCAGCACUGGCGUGCUUGCCAUUCAUCGUAGCUAGUGUGUGUUGGUGCUUCAUGAGUGGGGUCAGCACCAGGCCAGACUAGCUCGUGUUGACAAGCAAACCUCUUAGAGGCUGUCCUCUGAGGUGCCCUCUCAGAAGCCUCUCCUUGAGCUCCUCUCCUAUUCAUUGGUCGUGCCUAAAACUCAAUGUGUAGAGUUUGGACAAAAUACAGUGCCAUCUCCGAGUUAGGUAACCGGAGCUUGGCAUCCCCAUAUGUCAUGUAUAAAUCCCCUUUUAUUUUCUUUAUAAGGUGCACAUGAUUAAAAUGUUCAUAUCCAUAAAUUUUUCUAUGUGUAUCAAUAAAAUCCAAAGAGGCACCUUCAAGUAAUUUAAGCUUAAAAGCUAAAUGAGUAACUAUGGAACAAAUUGCUACAUCUCCUACUUUAUAAGCAGGAAUGCUUAACCAGUGAUCUACUAAAGCAUGGACAGGUGACACCCUUAUUUUCUUAACCACUGCAUAAAUUAAUUCUAAAUCUAUGGCUCUAAUUUUACUAGCAUCAUCUUGAGGGAAGAAAGCUAUUCCUAACCACUUAUGCAAGAACCUAAAUGUAGGGUGCUCUAUGUCCCGAGUACGAUUGCCACAGAAGAAAUGCUCUUUAGAAAUUUCAAUCUAAAAUUUAUGGGUGUCAAAAUCUUUUAAGGCUUCUGUUAAAUCUAAACAUGCAUUUGAAGGAAAGCCUAAAAGAUCACUAAGAACUCUCCAUGUUAAACAGAAUUCUUGGGUAAACAACCUAAAAUAAACUCCUGUCUGGGUGAGUUCAAGGGUGCUCAGAAAUUCUUUGGCUAAAACCUUGGACCCUAACUCAGUGAUAGAUGUGAAAGAACUCCAACCAACAAACUGGAAAAUAGUAUCGAAUUCAGUUGCCAUAUCUGUUUCACCGAGGAACACAUCAUCUAAGACCUGUGUGUGGACAAAGCUCCUGCUCUUCAAUUUGUUGUAGAUGUUCUUUUCUCUCGCAUCCUUCAAGACAAGGUGAGUUGCUGUGAGGAGAACCCUUUGUGGUGUAGCUGAGGAAGAUGGUGGUUGAGGGUCAGCAGGAGGAUUGGUGCUCAUGUCAGAGCCAGCCCUUGACGAGACAUACUGGGAUGAGCUCCUUGUGGUCCUUCCCAAGACCUUGUUGGUGAUUCCCUUUGCCCAGCUCCUUAUCCUGCAACAAAUGCUUACAGACAAAAACAACACUAGUGCAAGGGGUUAAUCAAAGGUUAGUGGUUAGCCAUCCAGAGGUGAGUCGUUCUUUUAAGAUUAAGUCUAGUUGCUAGUUUGGAUUUUGACAGAACCUUCGUUGAUUUUAGAUUUCUUAAUUCCUAGUUAGACAGCACUUCCACUAAUUUCUCUAUGAAUUCUUGCGGCACUACCCCUCUUUCACUAGCCCUUGAGCUCUUGCUCACUCUCCUGAAUUCCCACACUCUUCUCUACUCUUUCUAUGCUCUCCUUCUCUCCCAAACUCUCUAUGGACUGCUAGAGGCCGAGAGGUCAAAGUUUGUCUACUGAAAUGGCUUGUGUAUGGUGUGUGGAAGUGGAGGAAGGCCUUUUGUAGAGGAGGAGGUGGCCAGGUGUGGGGGUAUAAACCCCUAUACCCUUACGGUUAGACUUAGGCCAGGAGAUGUAACAGAACUGUCCAAUUUAUAAGAAUUUAAGUGAAUUAGCGACCACAAAGCAGUCAAGCCAAUGGACUUGAACCCAUAUAAACCCAGUAGUCCGACAAAACCUCAAAAGAUCUUGAUUCAACCAACAUACAACCAAGACCAUAAAUGAUCAAGCAUCUCCAUCACAGAUUACAUACAUUCAUCACAGAACAUAGUUUUUACCAUACAUCGGAGUUCAAAUAUAUUCAUUACAACAUAGAUCAGUAGCAGAAGCAAAGUAGUUUUUAAACACACACACUUUUAGUUCAAUUACAUGCCAGUUCCAUAGUCAUUCCGACAAAAGCACAACUGAAGAGAAUAGAAGUGAUCUUGCUCAUGAUCUACUCAUCAUCCGCAGCCGGACGAUGACAGUUAGCACAGUAGCCAUGAUAAACGACAUGAUCUGCAACAGGGGUAAAUAAAACCGUGAGUACGAUGAUGUACUCUGCUAGACUUACCUGUCAUAAACCAGAAAUAAUGUGACACCAAGGAGUAUGCAAGGCUAACAUUUGUGGACGGGUUUGACUCACCUUUGCAUAAAAGCUUUAAUUUUUGAAUAACACAUUUAUAACAUUUUCAGCAGCAAGUUAAUUACUUAGAUCAGCUAUCCACUAGAUUAGCACCUGUUCUAAGCAUACACUUGAGUAUUUAAGCAUCACAAUAAUAACCAUAUCCGGAUUAUCACAUAGCUAUCAACAUUCUUCACUUAACCAUUAAGUUUAAUUAGUGAGUUCUACGUUGCCGCUUCUCGAGUCAAGUUCUCACUAUCCGGGAGAGACGGCGAUUCGAAUCGAUUCCUAUCCAGCUGGAGGGGUAUUCCUAGCAUUCACCCAAGCAUACCUCGCGAGGGCAGCUCGGAUCACCUUUGGCACAACUCCGGACCAAUUCAUGGGUCCGUCCAGCACCGCACCCCCAGGGACCGCCAAACUGCCAAGUGCAGGACUCUAACCUGACACCUUGGUCUUACGCCAUUGACUCCCGGCAUAUCCUUGCUACCAACCGGGGUGUGCACUCAUACAGAAUGGGGUAUCCGGCCUGAGUUGCACUCGUAGGCUUCGUGGUCGGAACGACUUAUCCGGCCAACUAAGUGUUAGGCAUGCGUUCAACAUGACACGAGGACGUACAGCGAAUCGGUCCUUAACCGACACAGACGGGGAUAGAUUCACACCCAAGACCUCCAUGCCUUGUUGCUGCACUAUCAUCAUCCCGUCUGGUCUCAAUCAUUAUUAGCCAUGGUUAUUUCCACGAUAGCAAGUAUAGCCAACCGUGAUCAAGUAUCCACCUAUCUCUCGCAGGUGACAGGAAAUCACCCGGCUUCUACCGAGCUAAGCAUGGCUAAGCAUAAUUUCGAUCCUAGACCUACUUAGGUAUUUAAUGAGGUGGACAAGGUAGUAAUUAUGCAGUAAGGGUGUCAUAUCAACGCCUAACACUUAUUGCAACAAUACAUAACCAUAGUUAAUUGACAGCUGGACAUGAUAACAAAAAUAGUAGGAGGCUUAUAAUACUCCGGGGCUUGCCUUCAACGUAGGUAGAGGGACGAUGGUUGGGACACUCCGGUAGAUCCUCCUCCUCAGCUCCUGCUCCUUGAGGUGGCUCCCCAUGCUGCUCCUCCGGCUCGGGUGGUGCGAAUUCCAACACCGUCACGCCCGUGGGUACACCUAAGCAUGCAUGACAAGGCGAUAAACAUAGGGAAUGCACAUGUGAUGCAUAAUGUCAUGAUGAGAAGCCAAUUGAACAUGCAACAAGGCGCAAACAUGAGCAUAAGCUUCUAACAUUAAGAGGAUCAUGAAACAACAAGCAAGUGCAUACUUCUUCUCUGGUAGGGAGACUAACUAGACAAGCAAUCAACCUUAGUUAUUCACACGCAACAACUGGGGUUAUGUACAGAUUCACUAGUCACAAGUUCUGGCUGUAACAUAAACAUCAGUUGGCCACACUAAGAAAUUAGAUACUUUCUAGAAAGCUUAACAAAUUGUUUACAGUUCACUUUUAGACGUCACAGAAGGAUUCCCAACCGAAAUAGGUUGAAACAGACAAAGUUGGCUGGCUGCUCUGAAAAAUCCAGAGAGCAAACACUUCGUAGCAGUUCCUUGCAACAGUCAUAACUCUUAAACUACUCAGCCAAAUGUCACAAAAUUUGGACACGACAGAUAAGUAAGUUGGCUACAAGUUUGUUAUAGACAAGUUUUCCAGCAAACUUCAUCUUCAAACAGUUCUUAAGUAAAUUUUAUUAGCUACACAGAAUAUGCUCUAGGAAGACAUAAUUAGCAAAAUAAUAUUUUAACACAUACUAAGAAUGCAACAAAGGUUCCAACCAAAAGCACCAGUAGCUAGCAUAUGUCUAAGAAACAUCAUAAAACAUCAUGGCAAGGUUUAAACUCAUUUUUAUUAUCCCCUUUUCUAUUUAAUGAAUUAUUAAGAUGAUUAAAUAAGCAUAUAUCACAAGUGCUCCAAAAAUGCUAGCAAAAUUACAGCAUGCUGUCCAAGCUACUACAAGGUUACUGUAAAAUUUUCAGGGCUCUUGCACAUGUAGAUUGUGAGAUACAAAAACGACCAGCUAACAAAGGCAUUAAAGGCAUAAAUGUGAAACCCUAUCAAAAAGUGUCAAACAACAGAUUUCAGAUUUUUCUUAUCUUUGUUUGUACAUAAUUAAAUCACUCAGUAAGUUUCAUCAGAAAAGGAGUUAUAAUCUAUUUACUAAAAAUACCACAAGAAACUCCUAUUUAAUCAAGAAAUAUUUAUAACUCUACCAGAAGGCAUCGAAAAAUCAUGAUAAAUUUAUCAGAGCCUAUUCAUGUCAUAAGUAACAAUAUCAUAAAUUUGCAUGGCCAUAGGACUCACAGAUCUCAAGAUAUAAUUACCUCCUAUUUAACCAAGAUUAAAUCAUAUCUAUUUAUUUCUGCAAAAACAUGACAUAUUUUAUAUUUUUAGUAAAAACUAAACUAAAUCAAGAACCUAACAAAAUUGGAAUCACUCCAUUUGGACCAAUAUAACUCGAGUUAUGAAUUUUACAAAAACCAGCUCAGAAUCUGCAAAACAGUGGACAGAGGGAGAGAGAGGCAGAGGCUGACAGGGGGACCCACUGGUCAGCGGGACCCACUCGACAGUGACACAGAGACUGGGGAGAGCUCGUCGCCGGCGAAACUCGACGACGGCGAUGUCUCGGUCGGAUCCAAGGGCACAGUCGUGACCCUCUCACCAAGGCGGACCUGCCGAGGUGCGAAACCCUAACUCUACUGAGCUCUAGGAUGCUCAUCGGCGCGAAUGGUGGCUCGGCAGCGCUGCGGGCGAUACGCCGGCAUGCUCAGCCGAUGCCGACCCAGUUGAGGUUCACGCUGAGCAUCAGCGAGUCAAGGGAGAGCUCUAGGAACAAAAACGAGAAGAAAUGGUGGAGCAGGGAGGCCUGGCCACGUCACCGGUGAGCUCGGGCGGAACUCCGGCGAGGUAGAAAGGCUCGGAGGUUGGCAAUGCCGCCUUACCCGUGCUCGACAGUGGCUAAGGAGGUGACGCCGAGGUAGAGGAGGCUUUGGCGGAGCUCUAGGCUGGCUGGCUUGGCCGGAGACGGAGAGGAGAGCUCGGGCGAAGCGGCCGAUUCGCGGCGCAGCUUGCCGAGGACGAAGUGGAGAAGAGAGAGAGCACCAGAGAGGGAAAUGAGGACGGCUGGCACUCGGGGUGGUGUCGUGGCGUCCAAGAGGGCGCGCUGGAGCUGACAAGUGGGUCAUCGACAGCGUACGGUCGACACCUGGCUGGACACGCGGCGGCGGACGGCGACUGACGAAACUGAAUCGCGUAAUUCAGUCGCCGUCGGCAGUGUCUGAAUCCCAAUGUUCAUCGACGUUCUACUCUUGAUCCACUCGAUGGUUUUGGCUCCGAUUUGUUUCUUUGGAUAGAGCUACACGAGAUUUACAAGUUUGCUUACAGGAUCAAGGUUUGGUUUGGCUUAGAUUUCAAACUACAACACUUCAAAGUACCCUACCUCGAAACUGUGAAAAUCAGACUUUGCCAAAAUCGACUAAGUGUUGGAAACAGCACUGAUUUCUGGCUUGUGGGCCACUUUUGGUCAGGUUCCAAGCAUUUUAAUAAAAAGUCAUCAACAUAACUUUUGUAGCUUAUGAAAUUUACUACAACUUUGCUUUAGAUGUCAUUUAAAUGCAAGGUUUCUAACACUGGUUUCAUAAAACAUCUUUGAAAAGAGGUUUAGGGGGGUCAACUAGGUCAACCUAGGGUUAACCAUGACUUAGGGGCAUUUUUGGGUAAAAUCUCCAACACAAACUUUGUUCAAAAUGAUAUUUUACACAUGAUUAAAGUAUGUUGGAAGACAAUGUGCACUUACAUGCAUUGGCCACACAUUACCAUCACAUAUAGCAAGUCAAAUAGCAAUUCUAUCACAUAUGAUAUACAUAAGAUGACAUGUGAUCAUGAUAUGAUGCUUAUGAAUGAGCAUGAUGAUGCUUAUGUUGAUGCAAUGCUCAUGGUUAACAUGCAAGCUAACACUAGGAGUGUUAUAUGAGAUAUGGCCCAUUACGAGACAACUCGUGGCUUGAUCCAUCUACUUGGAGUUUCACGCAAGGAAACAAGACAUGGAGAUCAAGCAAGAUCCUGGUCGGUUAGAAUAGGAAUUGAUAUUGUAUUAUCUAUGGAAAUUGUAACCGACUAGGAUUAGUUUCUAGAUUUGUAGCCCUACCCUCCAGACUAUAUAAGGAGAGGCAAGGGACUCCCUCAUAUCAAUUCAUUACAUCUCAUAUCAAUACAAUCAAACACAGGACAUAGGUAUUACGCCCUCACAGUGGUCGAACCUGGAUAAAAUCCUUGUCUGUGUGUUGUGUCACAGUCAAGUUCUUAGCUUGCGCACCUGUCUGCAAAUAAACUACUACCGUGGGUAUACCCCAAGGUAGACUGUUGACCAACUUUCAUCGACAGUGGUGUGCUAGGUAGGGGGUGUGCAUACAGCUCUCUAGACGAACAAGAUGGUCAUCACCCCCACUUCUGCGUCCAUGGCAGAAGGCCUCAUGAUCACCAUCGGCCAGAUCACCUGGAUGACUGGCACCGGCGGCCUCGCGACCACAACUUCGAAAGAAACCCAGAUCCAAUCUGCGACAACUUUGGCGACAACUCCAACCACGUCGGCCACAAUCACCAUCACCCUGACGAUGUCACCGACCAUGCCGACAACUCACCCUCCACUUUCUCGCUACAAUGGGAAGCAGAUUGACAACUCUGGUGAAUUCAAUCUCACCCUGGUGAAUUCAAUCUCAGGCCAGACCACCAGAGUGGCAUCAGCUAAUUAUUAUGGAUCUACUCGGCCAACUCGUGUCACUAGACACAAACAGUUGGAAAUAGGUCUAACAAUCAUCGCUACCCUGGAAGGACAAACCACUUGAACCAAGGCGAUCUCUCAGAGCAGGUGAUAUCCACCUUUCCCUCAUGGCCUAUGCAACUCAGCCGCACUGACCUCGCGACAUGCCCGUCGGCUGUUUGCGAAUUCUACGUCGAUAGAUCCAAUCCCGGAUCAGCGUACCCCCAGCAUGCACCAAACACGACACUUUGUCAGCAUGGUCUUUGUCCAAACUUUACGAAAAAAUGGUACAUCCAGCAUGCACUCCAGCACUGGCUUCGUCCCUACCGAGGUUUUACAUCCCAAGGAUAAGGACUACGAUAUGGACUUCCCUCCAUAUCCCCUGGGUUUUUCUUGCUUCCCGGUCGCCCCCCCAAUGAGGAGAUCUAGUCCUCAGUGUUAGCAAUGAUGAGCCAAUACUCGAUGGGGAAACCAACGACCAAAGAAAACAAUGUGAGCAACACAAUGCUGAUCGCACUCAAUGGUGAGCGCAUGAGGAAGAGCAAUAGAGACAGAUAAACGCUCAAAAUUUUGAUGAUGCUUUCGACAUGGUGGGAAACCAACACGUGUUUAAGACCCCAAGCGCCAACAUGGAUGUUGCUAUGGCGAAUCUCAAAUGACUCCCAAACACACCAGAAUACCAGGAUGUUCGGACCAGCAUACGGGCACACCUAAUCACCACCAUGGGACAAACUGUAGAUCUCAUCACACGAGUGCAAGCAUUCUCCUACACAGAAGCCACUUCUGGUCGAAGCCACCAAAGUUGGGUUUCACCACGGCCUGGCAGACCUCGUCGUGGUCACUCACCACAUGAUGUCCAUCAAGAGAACAAUGAUCAUCACAACCAAGAGGCUCAUCGCCACGAUCGUGAUCGGGACGCUCAUCAACAUCGUUGUGUCCAUGACCCUAACCGUGGUCACAACCAGGAAGUUGACCAGGGAGCAGAUUGUGAUCUCCGCCGCAACCUUCCUCGAAAUGACGUCUGUGAUCACAUUAAUAAGCGCAUCAACGACAGAGCAGCACAUGAAAAUAUUCAACGUAUUGAGUAUGAUGCUGUACAUGGCCCCCUAGGUUGAAGCAGUUUUCUCCACAUCUCUAAUAAGUCAUCUGGCCUUCCAACUUCAAGUUAGAAAAGCUCAAAAAGUAUGAUGGCAAGGAGAACCCCAAGAACUAGAUCACUCUCUAUGAAAUUGUUGUCCGAUCUGCCACGGGAGACGUGCAUGUAAUGGCAAACUAUUUCCCCAUCGUCCUUGAUCAAGCCGGACAUCAAUGGCUUCUUGGCUUACUAGAGAACCAGUUUGAUUCAUGGGAAGAGUUAUGCUAGGCAUCCAUUGACAACUUCAUAGGCACCUACGAGCAACCUGGCAACAAGUAUGAUCUUGAGAGAAUACGGGAUCGCAAGAACGAACCACUGUGUGACUACAUCUGACAUUUCUCGGAUAUGCAUCUUAAGAUUCCAAAAAUCACCCACGAUGAAGCAAUCUCUGCACUCAUCAAAGGCCUUCGUUAUCACAAAGCCCUUCGCAGCAUGUUACUUCAUAAAUGGCCGAGCAUGGUCGCUGAACUUUUUGCUCCAAGAACUACACCGAUGCUGAUGACGCGAAAAGCUGAUCAGAGAAGACGUCAGAGGAAGGCAACAGCCCGACCACCCUCCUCGAUGAGAUGACAAUGGUGACAACCAUGGGAGAUUCGAUAGUCGCAAUCCUCGCUGCAAUGACAACUGAGUACGUAGGGAAGGAUCGGAUAGGCGCCGCGACCACCGUGACAAUUUUAGGGGUAAGAGGCCCCGUGAUAAUGACCAUGAGGUCAACACGGUCAAAAGGUUCACUAGUCGUCAGGACUACCAAGAUGAUUACAACAAAGCCCUAAAGGGUCCAUGCCAGCUCCACCCUCGAUUCAGUCAGACAAUGGAAAACUAUCGUAUCCUAAAAAACAUCUACGCGCAAUAGAUCAUCUAGGACCGCGCCGCGAAGGCCACAUGCAACCGCGAUAGGCACAACCACGAGGAUGAAGACGAGGACCAGGACUGUGAUCCACACCACUAGUACAUGAACCCAAUUGUGUCGUCCAUUCCAUCUUUGGUGGCAAGGUAUCGAUUAAAUCCAAGAGAGAGCGUAAGCUUCUCAGAAGGGCGUGCUUGAAUGUCGAUAGCACUGACGGCCUUAUCGUCGAUCCAAAGUUUCCUAUAAGGUCUCAUCAGGAGAUAUCUUUUAAUAGACAAGACUGAUGGGCCGCCAUCCCUGAACCGGGGCAUUUUCCCUAAUUUUGGAUCCAUGCAUCAAUAGCGUCCGUUUCAAACGCAUGCUCGUUGACAGUGGCAGCUCCAUCGACAUUUUGUUUUGCAACAGUCUACCUGCCCUCAAGCUAACUCAAGCAGAGUUGAAGCCAUAUGAAGCUCAGUUUUGGGGUGUCCUACCGGGUUAGAGUUCCGUCCCUCUCGACUAGAUAAUGCUCCCUGUGCAGUUUGGUACUCGAGACCACUUCCACGCCGAAUUCAUAAACUUCGUGGUCGCUGACUUUGAUGGGACGUACCAUCUCAUUCUAGGCCAUCCUUCACUCACCAAAUUUAUAGGAGUACCAGAUUACUCAUAUCUGGUGCUCAAGAUGCCCAUCGAGAAGGGAGUCCUCACAGUCAGGGGCAACGUCUACAUAGCCUACACUUGUGAGGAAGAAAGCUUCAAGAUCACCGAGGCCAUUGAGCUCUCCAUUAGGAUGGCAGAGACCACUACUCAAGCAGCAUAGAUGCCCUCCGACCAGCUCAAGAUCUGCAAGCUGUAGGCCCCAAGGAAGAAUGUCAAGUCCAAGGAGCAUAAAGAAAUCCAACUGGUCGAUAAUGAUCCCGAGAAGAUGGCUCUUAUUGGAGCCACCAUGGAUCCUAAAUAGGAAGACACGCUCGUCAGGUUUUUGAGGGACAACGUAAGCAUUUUUGCAUAGAAACCUGUAGAUAUGCCUGAUGUCCCCCGUCACCUGAUCGAGCACUCCUUGAACGUCUCGAAGACCACCAGACCCAUCAAGUAGAAAUUACGACGGUUCACUCAUGACAAAACGGAGGCCAUUGGGAUAGAACUUACAUGGCUUUUAGCAGCCGUAUUUAUUAAAGAAGUCUAUCAUCCAGAUUGGGUUGCUAAUCUAGUACUUGUAAGAAAAAAGAAUAAUGAAUGGAGAAUGUGUGUGGAUUACACUGAUCUCAACAACACUGUCCCAAAGACCCCUUUGGUCUCCCUCGUAUCGACGAAGUGGUCGACUCCACGGCUAGAUGCGAACUUCUUUCUUUUCUCGACUGCUACUCUGGUUAUCACCAAAUCUCUUUAAAUACUGGCGAUUAGAUUAAAACCUCUUUCAUUACCCCCUUUGGAGCAUAUUGCUACACGACCAUGUCUUUUGGUCUAAAGAAUGUUGGGGCCACAUACCAAUGUGCCAUUCAGCAAUGCCUCCACAACGAGAUACAGGAUGACCUGGUCGAAGCCUAGGUCGAUGACGUUGUCGUGAAAACCAGGGACACCAGCACUCUGAUCGACAACCUUGAUCGAACCUUCAUAGCCCUCAAUCGAUAUAAAUGGAAGCUCAACCCCAAAAAAGCGUCUUUGGGGUUCCCUCUGGUUUACUACUUGGCAACAUCAUCAGCCGUGACAGCAUAAGCCUGAAUCCCUCCAAAGUCAAGGUAGUCCUUGAUAUGCGACCACCAAGGAAAGUGAAGGACAUGCAGAAGCUCAUCGGAUGCAUGGCUGCCCUCAGCCGUUCAUAUCUCGACUAGGAGAAAAAGGGCUACCUUUUUCAAAUUGCUAAAAGCGUCCGAGAAGUUCACCUGGAUCGAGGAAGUUGAUGUAGCAUUUGUGCAACUUAAAGCUUUCCUAACCUCUCCUCCGAUCCUCACCGCACCUCAGCCAAAUGAGGUCAUACUUCUAUACAUCAUAGCCACAGAUCAUGUCAUUUCAACGGGCCUCGUGGUUGAACAAGAAGAGCCAGACCAUGUUUACAAAGUCCAGCGACUAGUCUACUUCAUAAGUGAAGUACUCAAUGAGUCCAAGACCAGAUAUCCCUAGAUUCAGAAGUUAAUCUAUGACAUUCUAAUCACUUCCAGGAAACUAAAACAUUAUUUCAAUGGUCACCACGUCAUUGUAACUACAAGCUUUCUGUUGGGAGACAUCCUACGCAACAAGGAUGCAAAUGGUCAAAUAGUAAAGUGUCCCUUCUCAAUGGAUUUUUAGAGCCGUACCACCGUCAAAUCAUAAGCUUUGUAGACUUCAUUGCGGAAUGGACUGAUCUCAAUGCACCUCCAAGCCAGGAUACCAUCGAGCAGUGGCAGAUGUUCUUUGACGGAUCACUAAACAUCGACGGUGCUAGAGCUGGGGUUUUCUUUGUGUCGCCCAAUAAGGACAAAAUUUGUUACGUCCUUAGGAUCCACUUCCCCAAAUCCAACAACAUGGCCAAAUAUGAACCAUGCCUACACGGCAUGUGACUAGCCGUGGAACUCGAAAUUAAGCAUCUCUACGUCUAUGGCGACUCAGCCUUGGUCAUCAAUCAGCUCAACAAAGACUGGGAUACUACACAUGAGAAGAUGGACUUAUACUGCAAGGAGAUCCACAAAUUGAAGCAAAAUUCUAUGAUAUCGAAUACAUACAUGUGGUCCAGGACAAAAACCAAGCAGCAUAUGCACUGUCAAAGUUAGGAUCAUCCCGAGCUCAGGUCCCACAUGGUGUUUUCAUUCAAGAUCUUGUCAAGCCAAGUAUUGAAGAAGGCCUAGUUGGUGCGAGCGAAAUAGAGCAACGCAAGGCACUACUCACCACUCUGGAAGCUCCUCCGACCACAAACAGUAAUGACUGGCAUACACCCUUCAUCAAAUAUCUCACAGACGGCACUAGUCUUCCAGACAGAACAGAGAAUGAAUGUCUUCUACGGUGAUCCAAGCAUUACUUACUGGUCGAUGGUCGACUCAUGCACAAAAAUGCAAGUGUGGAAAUAUUGAUGAAGUGUGUCACCUAGGAUGAUGGCGUAAAGUUGCUCGAGGACAUACAUGCCGGAUCCUAUGGCAAUCAGGCAGCCUCUCGGACGCUGGUCAGAAAGUCUUUCUGAGUAGGGUUUUACUGGCCGUCUGCGGUAGCUGACGCUAAAAAGUUGGUUCAACACGGUGAGGGCUGCCAGUUCUUCACCAAAAGAACUCAUGUACCUACUCAUGAAAUCCACACCAUACCGGCAUCAUGGCCUUUCACCUGCUGGGUCUAGAUAUGAAUGGCCCAUUCAAACCUGCCCCUGGUAACUUCAAGUGUGUUUUCGUCUUGAUCGACAAGUUUUCUAAAUGGAUUAAGUACAUGCCUCUAGUAAAAGCUACUUCAGAAAAGGCGGUUGAGUUCCUUAAUCAAGUCAUACACCGCUACAACAUCCCAAAUAGUAUAAUCAUAGACCUAGGGACUCAGUUCACCGACACUACCUUUUGGGACUUUUGUGAUAACAAGGGCAUAGCCAUGAAGUACAUGUCGGUAGCACAUCCUAGAGCCAAUGGGCAGGUCGAACGAGCUAACGGCUUGAUCCUCUAUGCUUUAAAAAAGAUUGUACAAAGAAAACAACAAGGUAGAAGGAAUGUGGAUGAAAGAACUGCCAACCAUUGUCUGGGGCCCUAGAACACAGCCCAGUCAAAAUAUGGGCAUGUCUCCGUACUUCAUGAUAUAUGGGGUUGAGGCACUCCUCCCUGCCGAUAUCAAGUUCGGAUCUCCUAGGGUCGAGCACUUCGACUAGUCUACAGCUGAUGAAUCCAGAUAACUUGAAAUCAAUUGCACAGAAGAACGCCGACUGGACUCUUGCAUACGAACAGCUAAGUAUCUCGAUGUCCUACGGUGCUAUUACAACCGGAGUGUCAAAGGGUGAUUUUUUGUGGUCGGUGAUCUAGUGCUGAAAUAGAGGACACGCCAAGAGGGGAUGCAUAAGUUGUCCACACCUUGGGAGGGGCCUUUUAUGGUCACAGAAGUUACACGCCCCGGUUCUUAUAGAUUAGCAUACUCAGACGGAAGAAGUUUUCCUAAUUCAUGGCAUAUAGACAAGCUCUGGCGUUUCUAUCCCUAACGACAAGGCUUUGUAAUUUGUACCUCUAAUUUUCAUUUUGUGGCUAAUAACAAAUUUGAGUCUUUAUUCUUUAUUAGUUCACUCUCAGGCAGGGCACCCAUCAAGUGUGGUCCCCCAUCUUUAUGAUUUCUGUUUGUUACAAUAACUAAAGGAGAGUGGUCUGUCACUCUCACUUAGCUACAUCGUACCAAAAAACAGCGCUUUACCAUGGUUAAAAACUGAAACUUUGUUACAAACUUUAUUAAUAAAGUUUACAAUAAAAAUGCCUCUGGUCGGUUCUAUCCUACAACUACAGGCUAGCCAGGGGUCGCUGCUCGCCAGUCGUUGCAGUAUGCGCUACAGGCACCGUCGAAGAGGUCUGGGCCACCGGCGCCUGGCUAGUCGAGACCACAGGCGUUGACCACCCAUCUCCCACCGAUGAAGCUUUUGGCCACAUCUCAUCUAAUUCAUCUAGACUCGACUGGCUCAGAGGAGCAGAAGGUCCACAUAGGUUGAUGUCACCAAUCACUGUUGACGACAAAUCCAACAGACCGAUGCGAAGGUCAUCCGCUUCCUUCGGACCAAUUUCGUUCAGGUAUCCUUUUUCCAGACAAGCCAGGUCGACCAGGGGAUACUGGGCAAGCACCAUGCUCAGCACAUGAGCACCCGCGUACUCGCCAGCCUCCUUCACGAACUGCUAAAGCCAGCCCCAGGCACGCUGAGAUUUCUCAAUCACCCCAAGAGCCUAUGCUUAGGGCUAGUUCUCGGGCAGCUUAGGACUUAUGAGAUCAAGGACCGGGGCAAUACCCUUCUAGAUCUAGAUACAUCAAUUUUUCCAUGUAUCCUAAUCCUUGAUCAGCUCCUCGAAAUGCUUCUUGGUGUUUACCUUUAGUACUGCACCACACAAAUUAUUUAUCAGGUCUUGACCACGAAAUCUUAAUCAACUAAAUAAUCCUGGUCUUACCAGCAAGCUCUCGGUCCCUGACUUUUAGCUCCUACCCCAUUUUCCACUCACUCUUGUGGAUCCGAGAACGUUCCUAGUCGAGCUAGUCUUUCUCUUUGCGGAGGUGUUGGGUAUUCUUAACAUCAUUACCAAAAGUAGACUAAGUUCUCUAAAUCUAGUAACGGUGCCAAAAAUGCCAAACCUAUCCCUCAUACCACUUAAGCCAAGUUGUCAUCCCCAGCAUGACAUGAGAGACGCGGUAUUGAAAUAUGCAAUUGCUCUUCUAAAUAAAUAAUGAAUGGGAUCUGCAAGCGCACAGAUUAAUAUUGAUGUAGCAUUUUAACCGGAAAGUAUUCCAGGUAUCGUUAUUUAUAUUUUUACCACUGGGAAGAGAUUAGCAAUCAUCAAUAUUGAUUAUAGAAUAGAAUAUGAGAUUGAGUAUCUAUCAUUGCAUGUAUAAUUGAGAACAUUUAUCUAACUCUUCAUACAGGGAUAAGUGUCACAUAAAAGAUAUAUGAAAUAAUGAAUAGUGACAAGGAUAAUUAUUCUGAUCAGCCACAUAUAAAUAUGAUAAGCACCUCAAUUAGAUACUCUAGAAAGUCAUUAGCAUGGUACUAGAACGAACUACAAGAAUAUUCCCUAAGUUAUUCUCAACUAUAUAGUCUAGCAUUAUCAUAGUUAGUGCAAGCAUACUUAGCAAUCAUUGUGAGACAAGACUACGCCCAUGCAUAGUGAUAUUAGCAAGGUAAAUGAGAAACAUAGCAAUCACUCUCCUGUAAUAAUAUUGCUCUGCCAACCCAAUACACGAGAGGGGGACUAUAUAAGAAUCAAUGAAGCUAUCACUAUCACGAACUACCCCACGAUCUGGCAUAUUGGGUACAAUCGCAGAUAAAUACGGUAUAAGCACCACGCCUACACAAUAUCUAUCAUUUACCCAUGGAUCCGAUGGAUAAACGCUAUACGAUCCUAAGCAUGUAUAUAGAUCCAAUCUAACUAAGCCAAGUACAUAACUAUGAUAAACUAAGGACAAUAUAAUCUUGAAUAUAAGCAAGUAGAGCAAAGUCAUAAGCAAUAUAUUGAAGUAGAACAAAGUCAUAUUCAUAAUAUUGAAGAACAAAGAUAUUUAGAAAGCAAUUAGAAGCACAAUUAGAGAAUUACCAACAAUCCUCUUGACAGAUCCGGAAACCAAUCGAAGAUUGACUCCUUCUAGUUCAAAUCGUACGUAGCUAUGCUAAUCUAGAUAUCUAAUUGACGUGGUGGCUCUAAUCUUGAUCAGAGGCUUCUUCUCCCUUGAAGAAUAAUGAAUUAGGGUUGAGAGGCUCUCUCCUGCAGGGGCCAGGGGGUCUGGUUUUAUAGUCCCUUCAAGUGAAUAUGGGCCGUUGGAUCAAACCGACAUAGAUUGAACGGUUAUCCUUGAUCCUUUAGGUCGGUGGAGAUCUCCCACGAAACAGAGUCCUGAUUGGACUCAGAGAGGGGGCGGGCGCCCAGGGCAGGUGGGCAGGCGCCCUGCCUCUGGCCCCGUUCGGCCUCCUCUUGCUUCCCGUGGCUUCUGGAAUCUUCUAGAUGUAAGAUAAUUGCGUGGCACGUUAAUAUCUCUAUGUAAUCCCGACGUAUGGGCCUUUCUUCCUUAUUCCCUGAUAACCCCCUACAGAAAUAGACAAACACCAAAACUCGUGGAAUUCUGUCAGAUAAAACCCUAACUCUGGAUGUUGAUUUCAUUUGGAUCCUUUUCUUUGUUUAUUUAAUAAUUAAAUUUGAUACUUAAGGACCGUCAACAAACUCCCCCAAGCUUACCUCUUGCUCGUCCCUGAGCAAGGAUAAUCUCAGCAAUGGAUCAUAAGUUGUUGCAAUAUCUUUAAAAAUUGACGGUACACAUGCUUUUAAAUAAGAUCUCAUCUCUGAGUUAGAGUAAACUGUCAAGACUUAAAACCUACUUACUUUACCUUUACCAUGGGACUUGUAACCGUCACUUCUGUCUUGAGUAGUUAAAAGAUAGAACAGUCUAGUCAAGUGCCAUGUCUCUUAUUCUUGAUCAGCUAUAGCUCUAGAGUUUUUGUAGAUUUUCAAAUAAAACUCAGAGAUUCCUUGUAUGACUCUCUCAGAUCUCUCUUUUGUGGUAUUUCUGGAUCCUUACCAAGGCAGUGAUGGUAUAUGCCUUCUCUCAAAAUAUGUAGUAUUUGUGGUAUAAAGCAUAGUGACAUUGUCUUAUCUCUCAUCCUACUCUAAUAAGGCUUUAAUAUCUGGAGCUCAUAGGUGGAAGAUAAAGUAUACAUACUUACAAGACAUGUAUUGCAUAGUCAAACCAUGGAUCCAAAGAAACAAGUCAAUAAGUUUAAUCAAGAUGUGCAUGUGUGGCGAAUGAAUGGUAUAUGGUGAUGAUGGUGAUAACAAUGGUGAAAGUCUAAUUCUACUUUUGCUCGUUUGAGGGGUUAUAUACCUUUCUUGCUUUUUGAAAUUUUGUGAGGAGAAUGAGAUGCUCUUCUUUUUCUUUUCUCUCAGGUGGGUAUCUUGUACCCCUAAUUCUACUGUCAGACACUUGUCCAUUUUUACCUUUCGUCUCACUUUUUCUUUUCUUCGAGGUUCCGGGCACUUGCCCCUUUUUAUUUGCUCGUAUCUCUUCUUUUUUUUAGAGCACUCAUCUCUUGAGAUAAUAUAGCAAGUGGUAGCAACAAAAUAACUUGAGCAUUUAUUUCACAAGGGGAAAACAAAAAUAUUUUUGGUUAUUCUCUCCCGGAUUAGGAGUAGAAUAUUUUUGGGUGGUUGUGGAGAUGGAAAUGGAUGGAUAUAUGUGGAUGGUACUUCCGAAGUAGAAGCAGCAUAUAUGAGUGAACGUGCAAGUGGAUCUUGAUUUAACCACAUGACAAGCUGCUAAGGGUCUACACAGCUUGACCACACUCAAUGCUCAUAAGCAGUAAAUAAUAAAUGUGUGGCUCAAAGUCUAGCAAGCAUGUAUAUAUGGCUGUGGUAGGAAAUUAAACUCUCAUCAUAUAGGAACUCAUCAUGCAAUAUUUUAAAUAUUUUCAAAGAUAAAAUUCUCCAGAAUUCUAGCAUCUCUAGGAACAGAUAAACAGCAGCUCAACCUCCCCAUAUCAUAUCAGUUAACAACUUAGACUUCAGAUUAAGUUUUCAUCCCACAAGUUUAGGUCUAGAGCAAGCUUUAAAUUAUAACAGUUUAAUCUAAACUUGAGAGAGAACUUCAAAUUUUAAAAAAUAGACAGAGCAACUAUUCAUCAUAUCCAUGCUUGAGUUUUAUUUAGAUACAGAUUAGCAUAGCCAUUUUAUUUAUUUAUUAAACACACUAAGCAAAAGAUAUAUAUAUAAGCAUAAAAAUCUUUAUUUAGUUUUUCAUAGUUAUAUAUAUUUAUAUUCUAAUAAAAUAUAAGUAUAAAAAUAGACAGAUAGAUAGAAAUACUUAUCGAGAUAAAUGGGGGUGCUCUCCCCCAAGCUGAAUUUUGACGUAAUUUCUUUUGAUGUAGCUAGCAGGCGGCAGAGAUGUAUUUGAAAGUCAGCAGCAUUCUGACAGCGAUUAGAAUGUUUUCCGUCUUCUAGUCUUCUUGAUUCUUAAAUUCUGUGGAGCUCAAAUAGACAACAAAGCUUGUGGAACUGAUUAAGUGUUAGCAUAAAUAUCUAGCUUUUAUCAUGUUGAGACUCCUUAAUAAAUAUUACUCCCUGGUUUUAUAUUUUCGUUUUAUAAAGCAGAAAAAUAUUUAUUUUAUUUUUAUGCCACCACAGUGAAUGUACUUAUGGGUUUUAUGCCACUCGUAUACUCACAUGGGGCUUACUAUUUUUAACUUUUUUAUUUUAUUUUUAGUAUAGUAUGAACAUAAUUAAUUAAGCAGACUAUUUAAAAUAAUUGAAAGGGAAAGGAUAACUACCAAGUUUACCUCUUGGCAAGACGUUCGGUGUUUUUAAGUCCUCCGAACGAGACUCUCCAUUUUCUCAAUUGUCCUGGGAUUCGUUGGGUGGCGUAGUCGGUACUUCCGGCGGCGCCUCCUCUUCAUGUAUAGUUAUCUUCUCUUUCCAUACCUGACUCGGUGCUUCGGUCUCCUCUGGAUAAUUAUGUUUAAACUAUACGUCUUCUGAUCUUAUCACUUCUCCUUCGUAGUCUGCCCAUCCGUCCCUGAUGAUCUGCCUCCUCUAGUUGCGGUUGCGUCGUUUUCUUACCUGCUUAGAUUCUUCAACGAUAUAGUUAGGGUCAGUAAAAUAACGGCGUACCUUCUCUGAGGGGAAGUGCAUAUGGACUUCUCCGGUUCCAAUGUAGAUGAUUGCUUUAACGGUGCUGAGGAACGGUCUUCCAAGGAUGAUGGGUGGAUCGUACUCGUCUUCUCCCAUGUCAAUAACCUGAAAGUCUGUGUAGAUAAAAUGAUCGUCUAUUUUGACUGGGACAUCAAUUACUAUUCCUUUAACCACUCGAAAUGUAUGACUGGGACAUCAAUUACUAUUCCGAACAAGAGCCGAUAGGUGACUGCGGCCAUUAUGUUGACGACCGAUCCGGUGUCGCAAAACGUCCGUUAGAAGCUGUAUCCAUUUAUGGAGCAGUAGAUGCUUGGCAUUCCUGGGUUGUCCUUCUUGGUCAAAAACGGUGAUUUAAGUUGAUGAUCUUGACCUCCAUGAACUGCAGUGACCAUCUUCGCUGACUCGGUCCACACUUGCUUGUACCUGUUCCUCCUGUUGGUCCUCUUCCUUGAUUCACGUCUGGAUUGAUCUGGGAUUUGUGUAGUCUUGUUCUUGAAGAAAAACGUCUCCUUCCUCCCUUUGAUGUAGAAACUGAUCUUGGCAGCAUUGGCGUAGGUGAUAGCUCCUGAGGUAUUUAAGAAUGGCCUCCCUAAGAUGAUGGGUGCCCUCUCAUCAUUACCGGUCUCUACCACUAUGAAGUCUGCGGGGGCAUAUAAGGUACCAACUCGGACACAAAGGUUCUUCAAUAUUCCUUUUGGAAAACUUAUCGUCUGAUCUGCAAACUGCAAACACAUGGUUGUUUCUAAUAAAGGAUAUGUAAAGAAUUUUUCAUAGAGUACCCUAGGCAUAGUGUUGACGCUAGAGCCAAAGUCACAGAGUGUUUCUGGGAAGUCCACCAUGCCGAUGGAGAUCAGGAUGACAGGGUGUCCUGGAUCGCCUAUCUUGACCGGCAGAAGGUCAGUAGUUACUUCAGUGACGGGGUUACUCCAAUUACCUGCAUCAAACAUGUCUACAAGAUUUGCAGAUUCUAAUCCUUCCGGUUGUGAUGGUAUACCGGGGUUAGUAGCAGGAACAGCAGCAGCAAUCUGAUUUAACUGAGAUUCAAUCAUUUUAUUAAAGCUAAUUUGAUUCCUGAUGGCAGUAGAGAAAUUAUUCAUUCUAUUAUUUAUAUUUUCAAGCAUUUUAUCAUUAGAUGCCAAUUUCUUAGAUAGGUUAUCCAUUAGCUUUCCUUGAUUAGACACUAACUCUCUCAAAGGUGGAAAAUUAAUAUUAUUGUUGUAAGAAUUGUUACCUUGAUAAUUACCUGAGUAGUUAGGCCUCUGUUGAUUCCAACCUUUAUUUUGUUGAGGACGAUUGUAGUAGUAGUUGUAGUUGUUGUUGAUGUAGUUCACAUCCUCAAGCAUCUCAGGGCAGGGAUUGCCUGAGUGUCCAGUGUCUCCACACUCCUCACAAGUCAUGUGAGAGUCGUAGAUGUGCAUAACUUCCUUCUUAUCUCCAGCUCUAUCGUCGAGCUUCUUCAUGAGUAGGUCUAGCUUUGCAGACAGCAUGUCUACCUCCUUGAGCUGAUGCAUACCUCCACCUCUCUUGCAUGUCUAGGUCCUCUCUUCAUUCCAGCUUUGGUUGGACACCAUCUUCUCCACAAGAGCUGUGGCUUGUGGUAUGGUAAGUGAUAAGAAUGCUCCUCCAGCUGCAGCAUCCAUGGUCUCUCGGGCACUGUUGCCGAGCCCGUGACAAAAUGUUUGCAUCAAUAGCCAACUCUCCAUUCCAUGAUGGGGACAUUCUAGGAUGUAGUCUUGAAAGCGCUCCCAUGCUUCUGGAACAGAUUCAUCAUUUUGUUGCUGAAAACUUGUAAUCUUCCCACGGAGAGCAUUGGUCUUGCCCAUGGGAAAGAACUUAGCCAGGAAGUUUGUUGAGCAGAGUGCCCACGUAGUAUUCUUCUCCUUUGUAGCGUAUAACCACUGCUUCGCUCUUUCUAAUAGUGAGAAUGGGAAGAGGCGAAGUAGUAUAGCAUCUUUGGAAACUCCUGAUAUGGUAAAUGUGUUGCAAAUCUCCAGGAAGUGUUGUAGAUGAGCACUAGCAUCUUCAUGUGCCUUCCCACAGAACUGGUUGAAUUGCACCAUGUUGAUAAGUCCAGGCUUGAGCUCAAAGUUGCCGUCGAUCUCUACAGCAGGUCCAGUGCGGAUGUUGUCCAUAGUGGGAGCUGAGAACUCACGGAUUGAUUUGUUCGCCUUGGCUUCGAACUCUGAAGACAAGUUCCGGUGAUCUUCUUGAUUGGAUGAAGCUUCUUGCUGAAGUGUUGAUGAUCUCCUCUUGAGCUUGGCUCUAGUUUUUCUGAAUAAUGCUUCGGGAUUGUCAACAAAAUUUCCUGGAAGAUGUCUUCUAUUCAUACAUUCCCCUGCAUAAGAUAAAAUAGAAAAAUAUCGGGGUAAAACUAUAUGAGAGAAUAGAUAAGCUCAAUCAUAUUAGUGAUGCGAAUGAUAACUUGAAAUCUUUUAUUCCAUUCUUGAUUAGUAAUCAACCUUCCCCGGCAACGGCGCCAAAAAUGCUUGUUGGGUAUUCUUAACAUCAUUACCAAAAGUAGACUAAGUUCUCUAAAUCUAGUAACGGUGCCAAAAAUGCCAAACCUAUCCCUCAUACCACUUAAGCCAAGUUGUCAUCCCCAGCAUGACAUGAGAGACGCGAUAUUGAAAUAUGCAAUUGCUCUUCUAAAUAAAUAAUGAAUGGGAUCUGCAAGCGUACAGAUUAAUACCGAUGUAGCAUUUUAACCGGAAAGUAUUCCAGGUAUCAUUAUUUAUAUUUUUACCACUGGGAAGGGAUUAGCAAUCAUCAAUAUUGAUGACAGAAUAGAAUAUGAGAUUGAGUAUCUAUCAUUGCAUGUAUAAUUGAGAACAUUUAUCUAACUCUUCAUACAGGGAUAAGUGUCACAUAAAAGAUAUAUGAAAUAAUGAAUAGUGACAAGGAUAAUUAUUCUGAUCAGCCACAUAUAAAUAUGAUAAGCACCUCAAUUAGAUACUCUAGAAAGUCAUUCGCAUGGUACUAGAACGAACUACAAGAAUAUUCCCCAAGUUAUUCUCAACUAUAUAGUCUAGCAUUAUCAUAGUUAGUGCAAGCAUACUUAGCAAUCAUUGUGAGACAAGACUACACCCAUGCAUAGUGAUAUUAGCAAGGUAAAUGAGAAACAUAGCAAUCACUCCCCUGUAAUAAUAUUGCUCUGCCAGCCCAAUACACGAGAGGGGGACUAUAUAAGAAUCAAUGAAGCUAUCACUAUCACGAACAACCCCACGAUCUGGCAUAUUGGGUACAAUCGCAGAUAAAUACGGUAUAAGCACCACGCCUACACAAUAUCUAUCAUUUACCCAUGGAUCCGAUGGAUAAACGCUAUACGAUCCUAAGCAUGUAUAUAGAUCCAAUCUAACUAAGCCAAGUACAUAACUAUGAUAAACUAAGGACAAUAUAAUCUUGAAUAUAAGCAAGUAGAGCAAAGUCAUAAGCAAUAUAUUGAAGUAGAACAAAGUCAUAUUCAUAAUAUUGAAGAACAAAGAUAUUUAGAAAGCAAUUAGAAGCACAAUUAGAGAAUUACCAAGAAUCCUCUUGACAGAUCCGGAAACCAAUCGAAGAUUGACUCCUUCUAGUUCAAAUCCUACGUAGCUAUGCUAAUCUAGAUAUCUAAUUGAUGUGGUGGCUCUAAUCUUGAUCAGAGGCUUCUUCUCCCUUGAAGAAUAAUGAAUUAGGGUUGAGAGGCUCUCUCCUGCAGGGGCCAGGGGGUCUGGUUUUAUAGUCCCUUCAAGUGAAUAUGGGCCGUUGGAUCAAACCGACAUAGAUUGAACGGUUAUCCUUGAUCCUUUAGGUCGGUGGAGAUCUCCCACGAAACAGAGUCCUGAUUGGACUCAGAGAGGGGGCGGGCGCCCAGGGCAGGUGGGCAGGCGCCCUGCCUCUGGCCCCGUUCGGCCUCCUCUUGCUUCCCGUGGCUUCUGGAAUCUUCUAGAUGUAAGAUAAUUGCGCGGCACGUUAAUAUCUCUAUGUAAUCCCGAUGUGUGGGCCUUUCUUCCUUAUUUCCUGAUAACCCCCUGCAGAAAUAGACAAACACCAAAACUCGUGGAAUUCUGUCAGAUAAAACCCUAAGUCUGGAUGUUGAUUUCAUUUGGAUCCUUUUCUUUGUUUAUUUAAUAUUAAAUUUGAUACUUAAGGACCGUCAACAGGAGGCAUUCUAGUCCUCCUUCUAGACCUACAGUUGCAGUAAUAAUUCUAGUCAUAUUACACGAGAUACAAAACAUCUUUGAGGUUUAAAAUCAUACCUCAUCUUUCUCUAUUUUUCUCGGCCAGUUGUCGAGAGAGGUCGGCCAUCUGCUCCUACUGAGCAGUUGGUGGCCCUUUCAACCUCUGACCGAAGCCAUCUACUUCGGUUGUCAGGACCUUAUUUUUCGCCUGUUGAUACCAUUUUUGGACACAUAUCCAGGAUCGGUAGAGUGUAGGUCGGCAAGAUAGGAUGGCAAUACUUGGUCUGCAGGAGAAGUUGGCGAUGAGGAUGGUUGCCGAUGAAGGGACAGCCGAAUAUGACCAAGUCCAAGGGUGAUGAUGUGUUUGUGCCGAUGGUCAGCGUUAACCUGUGUCGAUGGCUAUGAUAGGGGGGUCUGCUGAUGAUACGGAAGAAGAACCUGAAGGUUGCCGAUUAGCCUGUGAAGGUGUCCCAGUUUGUCACGGGAGGAUAGUUUUAUGUUUUCCUUAGUUAUUUAAGUCGUUUUGUGUACCGAUCCUGUUUAAUUUGGAAUUCGAGUUCUAGUCGUGUCUGGUUGUAGCUCUUUGAGCAGGGUAUAAAUAUAGAUCCAAGGGCCUUGUAAGACAUCUAACAAUCAAUCAAUCAAGCACAAGCUUUUACUCAUAUUCCAGUAUUUACUUUUUUGACGACUUCGUCAUAUUUUCCUUUUUCAUUACGAGUCCUUAGGAGUUCAUCGACUUAAGCUCGGUGUAUUCUCAAGUUCCGCGUGAAUACCUCUUGGCCGUGGCAUCCGGGCGCAUCGCUGUUGUCGGGACCAAAGUAUUCGAGUUAUCACCUUUACCGAUAGUAAGGUCAAAAUCGGCUCGCACGCCUUAACGUUUAAAUCGGGUAUAAGCCCUUUGUGUUUGUAGAUCAGCUUUUGCAUCAACACAUCUUUUGGCACGCCCGGUGGGACUAGAUUCAAGAUCAAGAUCAACAUGUCGACUACUGAGUUUUACUUGAAGAAUGUCAUCCCCGUGACAGAAGCUAGCCUCAAAGAUGAGCAAAAGCAAGGUAUUGCAAAGGCCAUGGAGGAUUACAAGCAACAAUGUCUCAAGGCCUUCAGCAUAAACAGGAGUGGCGAAGUGAUCCAGAAAGAAGCACUGCCGGCCCCUCGGCAGGUUACUUUUGAAGCCAAUCCUGGUAAACUCCAAGACAUGGUGGAUAGUGCUAUCAACCGUGGCUUGAUCAACCAAGCUGGUGUGCUGUCCAAUACGGUUUUCAAUGUCGUGGCUAGAACUUUCUAGGACAGUUACCACCAAAUUAUGUGGGCCCUGUCUAUCAUCAGCCACGAUCACCGGUGGUCACAGCUCCAUCGGCUGCUACAGCCGCUGCAGGUAGAGAAACUGCGGUUCCUCCAAGCACGUUAGGAGUCACUAAUGCACAAUCUACGCCGAUGACGACCAAUCCAUCGACCUCAGAUGGGCAGAUUAAGCUUACUACAGAUCUAUUGGCAUCGGCAAUGUCGGGACCAGUCCCUCCUCCUAACUGGUGGGGUUUUGGUAUGCCUUCAGAGUUCACGUUGAAGACACCUAGUACAUCUCAGACGGCUGACGUGAGAGGCAAGGCUCCUAUGGCAUCGGCACCUCCAAAUAUGCCGAUGAACCAGAGUCCCCAGUAUACUACAUUGGGAAUUCUCAAGCUCCAACGUUCCAGAUGCCUAAUGCAUCGACAGAUUCAAUGCUGGUGCAACAGAGGUUUAUGACUCAACCAGGGUAUGUCAAUUCAAUGAUGAUGCCCAAUUACCAGUCAUCGGCAGGCCCUAUGCUGAUGAAUGCUAAUAGUGGAUGGCCUGAGUAGCAAGUCUUUCCACAAAUGCCCCAGCAACACCAUCAAGCUAUAGGGUUUCAACAAGGCCAGAUCUACCCCGAGUUCCAGAAUCAGGGAUUGCCCAACCAGCCAAGAAUCUUGGACAGCAGAUCGGCGGGCAACAGUUUGGUGGUCAGCAGAUGGGUGGCCAAAUGAUUAACCCAAUGUGCCAUGCAGAUUGCGCACCGCACAGACACGUGGAAGCUUACCAGCAGAUGCUAGAUCCGCAACCGCCUCAUCGGCAAAAUGCCGAUGCUUAUUGGGCCGAUAAGAUCGCUGAAGUAAUGAGAGACCAAUUUGGGAUAGAACCCAAAGUCAACACUUACUCUUAUCGGACACCGUAUCCUCCUGCAUAUGAUUUAAUCCCGCUUCCAAAUCGGUACAAAGUGCCAGAUUUUACUAAGUAUUCUGGGCAGGAUGAUACAUCAACCAUGGAACACGUCAACAGGUUCAUCAUCCAAUGUGGAGAAGCUGCUAAUAGGGACGAGUUAAGGGUUCGCUUGUUCUCGUCAUCAUUGUCUGGAUCGGCUUUCACUUGGUUUAUAUCAUUGUCUCCCAACUCAGUGAUUACUUGGGCCAAUCUAGAGAAGCAGUUCCACAAAUACUUCUUUUCUGGCGUUCGUGAGAAGAAAGUCACCGAUUUGGUCAAACUGAAGCAACGCAAUGAUGAAUCGGUCGAAAGUUUCGUGCAGCGGAUACGGGAGGUCAAGAACAAGUGCUAUAGUCUGGUUUUAGAUGAUCUGCAGCUAGCCGAUUUGGCUUUCCAGGGUUUGUUGCCGCACAUCAGGGACAAGUAUGCAUCUCAAGAGUUUGAAAGCUUAUGUCAUUUGGUGCAGAGAAUUUCUGAUCAAGAUAUCAAGCCUUUUGAGCCCAAGAGAGCAUGGAACAAAAAGGUAUCAUUUGUUGAUGAGGCAACAAGCUCAGAUUCUGAUGAGGAACCAGUCAUCGGCUUGGCAGAAUGGGUGAAGAAUAAGAAGCCGAUGUCUUGCCCCUUUGGGCAUAAAGAGCCAGAGAAGUUCGCAUUUGACAUCACUAAAGCCGAUAGGAUAUUUGACUUUCUACUUCAGGAAGGUCAGAUCAAGCUGUCACCUAAUCAUGUGAUCCCAUCGGCUGAGGAAUUGAAAAGGAUGAAAUAUUGCAGGUGCCACAAUGCAACUUCUCACGACACCAAUGAGUGUAAAGUUUUAGGCAACAGCUGCAAUCGGCUAUAGAAUCUGGGAGGAUCAAAUUUGACAGCUCCAAAACUCAGAAACCGAUGAAGAUUGAUCAACACCCUUUCCCAACAAACAUGCUGGACGCUAAGGGAAAGGCCAAGGUUUUAACAUCGGAAGCAGCUGAAAGAAGUGCAUCGGUGGAUCCUCAGCAUCAGAUGACUACGGCCAAUGCGAAAGGAAAAGGCUUGAUCCAGGAAGGGACUAACUUAGGAAGGCCUCCUCGAUCUGGUAUCGUCAUAACUCACAGGAGGCCUCGGGAGACUUGGCAGCAACGUGAGGAUCGGUAUCGACGCCAGCAAGAGGACUAUCGUCGGGAAGAAAAAAGACGCCGACAGGAGUGGAAUCGGCAUAGGGAUCACUGGAAUUGUCCGUUCUUUAUCCAUUGUUGGGAGGAAAACAUCAAGCUUCCUACUGUCAGGGAUUGCCCUGAGCAAUGGUUAUGAUAGGUAUGACAGAUCCGAUUGGCGCUAUCAUGAUAAUGAUCGCCGAUUCAAUGGGCCGAUUAGGGGAAGAGCAUCCGUUCAUGAUCGGCUGGGGGGGCAGGCUCAGUGUGCACGACAGGCUCGGCGAUCGUGUUGAAUAUUUUCCCAGGAACCAGGAAGAACUUGAAGAGAUGGCUAAUGCUCGAGUUCCCGAUGAGUUCAUAUUUUGCAGGGAUGCCAAUACUUAUCGGAUGGAGUCAAGGGAGAAUCGUCGCCUGUCGGUAAGGCAGCGACAGCUCCCUCCAUGGUGUCCAGAGGGGUUGAGUAGGACCCAGAAAAGGAGGCUGCAGCACGAAAGACGAGAAGAGUUGAGCAAGGGCGAGAACUCUGGCCAAUCUGGGGAUCGGCAACACUCAGAUCCUAAAGGAAAAGGUCUAUCUGUAGAUGUCAACAUGGUAUUUAUGUUGCUGAUGGAAUUCCUUGCGCCGUCCAGUGAUGAUGAGUUGGAGUUUUCCGACCAGAUAGCUCAGUUGGCUCUGGAUCCGAUGAUAGCCAUCUUCGAAAAGCCUGCCGAUGAUGAAAGGCAACAUCUUAAGGCUCUGUUUGUCAAAGGAAAGGUUGAUGGUCAGCCGAUGACCAAGAUUUUAAUUGAUGGUGGGGCUGCUAUCAAUAUCAUGCCAUAUACAGUAUAUCGGAAGCUUGGAAAAGGGGAUCAAGAUUUGACCAAGACCGAUAAGAUGCUCAAAGACUUUGAGGGCAACGUGUCCCCAGUCAAGGGGGCAAUAUGCGUUGAGUUGACCAUCGGCAGCAAAACCUUGCCGACAACCUUCUUCAUGAUCAGUGGAAAAGGUGCUUAUAACUUACUGUUGGGAAGAGAUUGGAUUCAUGCCAAUUGUUGCAUCCCGUCUACAAUGCACUAGUGCUUGGUCCAGUGUGUAGGUGACAAGAUUGAGAUUGUCUCGGGAGAUUCUUCCUAUGUCAUUGCAUCGGCAGAGGCAGACACCUACGAAAGAACUAGGUGUAUUUCAGGAGAAGUUUGGGAAAAGGAUUUUCUCAAGGUUGCCGAUUAUGAGAUUCCACCGAUCCAAGCAGUCAGUUCUGAUGAAGGUUUUUAAUGGAUAGGUUCGCCGAUGAUGGAAAGUUAGGUCAGGGAUUCACAUCGGCCGAUGCUUUGGUAGAAGUAGAUAUAGGUAGUGGUGGUAAGCCUAGACCUACUUUUAUUAGUGCUAAGUUAGAUUCUAAGUGUAAGCAGCAAUUAACCAAUUUGUUAAAAGAAUAUAAAGAUUGCUUUGCUUGGGAUUAUACUGAGAUGCCUGGUUUAGACCGAUCAAUUGUUGAACAUCGGUUGCCUAUCAAGUUUGGAUUUCGGCCACAUCAACAGCCAGCUCGCCGAUGUAAUCCUAAUAUUCUUCCUGAUAUUAAGGCCGAAAUAACCAAACUCAUUGAGGCUAAAUUUAUUCGGCAAUGUCGGUAUGCCGAAUGGAUUUCCAAUGUUGUUCCAGUCUACAAGAAAAAUGGGAAGCUUCGGGUUUGCAUUGAUUUCAGGAAUCUCAAUAAUGCUACGCCGAUGGAUGGCUACCCAAUGCCACUUGUCGAUUUACUAGUUGAUGCUGCGGCUGGGCAUCGGAUCAUCAGCUUUAUGGAUGGCAAUGCAGGAUACAAUCAAAUAUUCAUGGCUGAAGAAGAUAUUUCAAAAACUGCAUUUAGAUGUCCUGGUCAUGUUGGAUUGUUUGAGUGGAUAGUCAUGACAUUCGGCUUGAAAAAUGCUGGUGCUACUUAUCAGAGAGCCAUGAAUAUUAUAUUUCAUGAGUUCAUCGGCAAGUUGGUGGAAAUUUAUAUUGAUGAUGUGGUGGUUAAGUCUGGAAACUUCGCAAAGCAUCUUGCCAAUUUGUGAAAGGUAUUAUAGUGCAUGAGGAGGCAUGGUUUAAAGAUGAAUCCCAAUAAGUGUGCAUUUGGUGUAUCGGCAGGACAAUUUCUUGGUUUCAUGGUGCAUCAAAGGGGGAUUGAAAUUAGUCAGAGAUCCAUUGAUGCUAUCAACAAAAUAGUUGCCCCUACCAAUAAGACUGAGCUCCAAUCCUUGAUCGGCAAGGUAAAUUUUAUCAGGAGGUUUAUAUCUAAUUUGUCUGGUAAAAUCCGUGCUUUCAGCCCUCUACUUAAGUUGAAAGCCGAUCAAGAAAAUUUGUUUGGGGGAAAGAACAACAGUUGGCCUUAGACGAAAUCAAGAAUUAUUUGGUAAAUCCUCCGGUUCUGAUUCCACCUCAGCAAGGGAAGCCCUUCAGAUUGUAUUUGUCUACCGAUGGGAUGGUCAUCGGUUCGGCUUUAAUUCAAGAAUUUGAAGGGAAAGAGCGUGUGAUUUAUUAUUUAAGCAGGAGGUUGGUUGAUGCUGAGACCAGGUAUUCGGCUAUUGAGAAAAUGUGCUUAUGCUUGUAUUUCUCCUGUAUUAAGUUGAGGCAUUAUUUGCUAUCGGCCGAAUGCACUGUUGUUUGCAAAGAUAAUGUCGUCCGAUACAUGCUAUCUAUGCCGAUCAUGAGUGGUAGGAUCGGUAAGUGGAUUUUGGCAUUGUCGGAAUUCGAUUUGCGUUAUGAAUCGGCUAAGGCGGUUAAGGGACAGAUUAUGGCUGAUUUUGUGACUCAACAUUGUGGUACAGUGGAGACUUUGGAGAUUGUACCUUGGACGCUCUUCUUUGAUGGAUCCACGUGUGACCGGGGGGUAGGAAUCGGCAUAGUGUUAAUUUCCCCUCGGGGAAGGAAAUAUGAGUUUUCCUUGCCGAUUGUUGCCACGUCUACAAAUAAUCAGGCUGAAUAUCAAGCUUUGAUAAAGGGGUUGGAAUUAUUGAGAGAAGUUCAUGCUGAUGCUGUUGAAAUCUUCGGAGAUUCUAUGCUAGUUAUAAAUCAAUUGGCUAGAUGCUAUGAAUGCCGAAGUGAGGUCCUCAUAACUUAUCACGAGAGGAGUAUGCAACUGUUAAAGGAAUUUAAGGAUUUCUGAUUAGAGCAUGUUCCUCGAUUGCAUAAUGAAGAGGCCAAUCGGUUAGCUCAGCAUGCCUUGGGAUAUCAGCCCAUGAUUAAUGCAAUAUCGGCAAUCGGUGCCGAUGAUUGGAGAAAGGAAAUUAUUGAUUAUUUAAAGGAUCCAUCCAAGAAAGUUAAGAGACGGGUUUGGUUUCAAGCAACCAAGUAUGUACUCCUCGAAGAUGAGUUAUAUUACCGAACCGUUGAUGGGAUUCUUCUCAGAUGUUUAGGUGAUGAUGAGGCUAGAUGUUUGAUGGGAGAAAUCCAUGAGGGAGUGUGUGGUGCGCACCAGUCGGCUUUUAAGAUGAAGUGGAUGAUUAGGAGGAAUGGGUAUUAUUGGCCGACUAUACUUGAGGAUUGCUUUAAGUAUUUCAAGGGGUGUCAAGGAUGUCAGAAAUUUGGCAAUGUUCAAAGGGCACCUGCAUCGGUCAUGAAUCCUAUCAUCAAGCCUUGGCCGUUCCGGGGAUGGGCUAUUGAUUUGAUCGGCCAGGUUUAUCCGCCAUCCAGCAAAGGACAUAAAUUUAUUCUGGUUGCCACCGAUUAUUUCACCAAAUGUGUUGAAGCUAUUCCUUUAAAGAAAGUUACAUCGGCCAAUAUGAUUGAUUUUGUGAAAGAGCAUAUUGUCUACCGAUUUGGAAUUCCUCAAACGAUUACUACCGAUCAGGGUACUAUGUUCACAUCGGGGGAGUUUGAUGAAUUUGCAAUCGGUAUGCGAAUUAAAGUAUUAAACUCUUCUCCUUACUAUGCUCAAGCUAAUGGGCAGGCCGAGGCAUCUAACAAAGGAAUUAUCAAGCUUAUUAAACGAAAGAUUGAAGAAAAUCCUAGGAGGUGGCACACAUUGUUAAACGAAGCUUUAUGGUCAUACCGGAUGGCUUGUCAUGGGUCGACCAAGGUUUCACCUUAUCAGUUGGUGUAUGGGCAUGAUGUAGUGUUACCUUGGGAAAUUAAGACUGGGUCUAGGCGACUAUCUUUUCAAGAUCAAUUGGCUACCGAUGAUUAUGCUACUUUGAUGACAGACGAGUUGGAUGAUCUAGCAGGACAUCGGCUAAGAGCUUUGAUGAGCAUAGAAGAGAAUAAGAAGAGAGUUGCCAGAUGGUAUGAUAAGAAGGUAAAAGCUAUGGAGUUUGCCGAUGGAGACUUGGUAUGGAAAUUAAUCUUACCGAUCGGGACUAAGAGUUCAAAAUUUGGGAAGUGGUCUCCCAAUUGGGAGGGUCCCUAUCGGAUAACUUGAUCGGCUCCUUGUAAUGCCUAUAUUUUAGAAACUGUCGAAGGAGUUGAAUUUCCCAGAGCACUAAAUAGUAAAUAUCUAAAGAAGUACUACCCCAGCAUAUGGGUCGAUGCAUGAAAGUUUAAGUGCCGAUAACAUUCCUAUCGGCUGGAUCAAAAUGUAUCUAGAGCUGGACUUAGUGUUUUAAAAGGUGCCGAUAACAGUCCUAUCGCCUAGACCAAGAUACUGAGAGUGCUCAAAAGGAGAGGGUAGGAUGUAUCGCCGAUGAAGAGUUCAUAUGUUCAGCAGCGCCUGGAUUGUUGAUAUGGCGCGCAGACGGAUUUGGUUGGCUUCUUCUAUCUCCUUCACGUCGUCAUCGGCGGAGCCCUCUACUGGCUUCAGCUUUUUCUUCAUCUGCAGCGCCGUGCGGGCUUGGACAUUUCGCUCUUGCUCAAGACGCUUGAUCACCUCGAGCAGCUGGUUCUCCUCUUGUUGAGCCUGGGACAAGGCUUCUUCCACUUGCUUGAGUUCAGCUAGUAGGGCCUCUCUUUUUGCCGACAGAUCAGAAAUCUUAUGCUUCAGAGCAUCUCCUGAGGACUUUAAGAUGCUGAUGUUCUUGUGCUUCUCAUCGGCAAGGAGCUUCACUUUCAUCAUCUCCUUAGAGAGCUAGGCAUGAGCAGCUCUAUCGGCAAGACGUUGGGUAGCCCUCUGGUACUGCAGUUGACGGCUCUCUAGAUGUGCGGCUUGAAAGAGAACUUCUUCAGCAUCGGCGGGGAUUUGGCCUCUGAGGGUCUUGAACAAAGCCUUGGCCGGAUCAGAAUCAUCGACUAGUUGGGCUGUGUCUUGAUGGAGGAGGGCCGACAAUUCUUCUAAUUUUGCCCUGAUCUCUGCCGAUGUAAUUCCAACUGCCCGAGAGGAACUUGCUUCCUCACCUUCAUCUUCGGAGAUGUCGAUGGCGAAAGAGAACAAACUGUCGGGAGAGUCCUGCUCCUGAAAAAGAAAUAAAAUGAGUUAUUCUAUGGUCAGGUAUUGAUAAAUGAUACAGACAGGGAUUCGGUAACUUACUUGUUUCAGGGCAAUCUCUCGCCUCUGACUGGAAGAUGCCGAUGGAACCAUGGGUUGAUCGGCCAGAGUUGCCGAUGGAACUAUGUCAGCUGAAAAAUUAGCAGAGGUAAUUAUAAGAUCGGGAAAAUGGGUCCAUCGACAAUAAUUUCGUGAAGAUAUAUUACCUUGGGGAGGUGCAGUGCUUGUCUAGAUCGAGGAAACUACCGAUGAUAUGAUUGAGCCUCCUGGAUUGGUAGUCUGCUCGCCCACAUCAGCCGAUGUGUCUUCCGGCUGAGGUACUUCUGGCUGGGGUUCUUUUGGUUGGAGUUCUUCCACUUGGGGUGCUUCUUGCAACUGAGGGGGAGAUGGUGCUUGUUGCGUCUGAGUUUCUGGAGAAGAAGGAGAAGAUUCCACUGGGAUUGGUGAUACUGGGGGAGGAGAAGGUGUUGCUGUCUUUUGGCGCUUUGCCUGUGCUCUGGUAUUCUUGGCACCUUUUCUUUUUGGCUGACUGGACUGGGGGGCAUCGGCACUUUUGCUUCUGGUCCUUGCCGAUGCGCCGGUAUGCUGAUACAGAGAGGGAAAUUCGUGAGUACAAGUGUAACAGAUGUAAAAAUGAAGUCGGUAUGAAAGAGUUUGAAAUUUUACCUUGAAAGCCUGUGCCAAAGCAGAGGCAGCUACCGAUGGAGAUGUCUUAGUCCUCUUGGUGGUGACCUUCUUGAGGCGCAUGCCUCGAUGCAUGAUGGCAGCCAAAGUGGGAGCGUUGUUGCCGAUUGAAGAGAUCGGACCUGAUGGAAAAAGAUCAAUCGGCUUGCCACUCCUGCUGACCGAUGGGGGGGGUAUCAUCAACCUAAAAUAUGACACAGAAAGUAAGUUACCGAUGAGAAUGGAAAAUAAAAACAUUGGAGUAUCGGUUUAGAAAUACUUACAGUAUCAUCGGGGACUUUGUACUGAGGGUCGAUCAUGUCGCGGUAUGUAAGAGCCGAUUUGCAGAACAAAUGCUCCUUCCAUUCCUCCCACCAUUGUUUGUAUGCCUCAGUGAUGAAGAGGGCUGGGAUCCAUUCUGAUAGAUCUGCAUUUGUAUCGGCAUUUGGUAGCAGUUGGGCUACUCGGGUCCAGUCAAGAAGGCUAGUGAUGGUCUCCCUGGGUUUUAUCACAUCGGCACAACAAAGAGCAAUCGGUAGCUGACCAAAAGCUAGUUGACGGGCUAGUGCUGAUGGGCUGUAGAACUCAUAAGUCUGGUAUAACUCUGGGAGUAAUCAGUGCCAUCAUCACAUCAUGGUCCUUGUUGAGGGCAUCAUUGAAGGGAUGGAAGACCAAGGGAAACAUUGUAAAACAAUGACAACCUCGCCAAAGUUCAGAGGAGGGCGAGUUGCCGAUUCUUCUUCAUCUAAUUCAUAAUCCUCGGCUAUGUCCCUAGGGAAGCGUUGUGUGAAGAGGUUGAAUUCAAGACGCUUGUGCAUAUGGAGGUUAAGCCACAUAUUGAUGAACCACUAGGGUCCUCCUAGGUUGCCGAUGGACUGACCGAGCAGGAGUUUUCUGGCUACUUGGUGGAGGAGGUGGUAAGCAGAGCCUAGCAGAUAUCGGCCGAGGGGAAAUCGGCCACCAUUGGCUAAUCUCUCUGCUGCCAAUAGGUAGACAUAGGUUGGUCCUACCGAUCGACCACAGAACACAAACUUGUCUAGCCACAUGUUCAGGAAGGUGGUUUGUUCCUUUAUGUUGACAGGCCCCGUUCUACGGUACUUCUGGAUAUACCCUGACCAGCCGCCGAUAGCGCGGGUGUCCACUUUGGCGCUAGGCGUAGUGUCAAACAGGUGACUACUAUCGGCAGUGGCUACGUCUAGGCCGGUGAGCAUGAGCACGUCGGCAAGAGUGGGAGAAGCAAGGCCGUGGCCAAAAACAAAGGCAUUGAGUGUGUCUGACCAAAAAUAUGAUGCAGCUAUCAGCAGUGAUUCAUUCCUAUGCAUAUCGGCAAUGGACAACCUGAUGCAUUGGUCCAGUUUUCGCUCACCCCACUAAACCUCAUUUGAGUGGCUGACUCUCAAGAACCAAUCCUUCCAUCCCACUGUAGGAUUGGGCCAGGAACGGAAGGUGUCCUUCCACAGAUCUAGAGAAAAAUUCUCGGCUCUAAAGGGGAUUUUGUUUGUUUCUGCGUUAAUAAGAUCGAUGGGAUCUGGAUCCCCUAAUGGACCAAGACAUUGGAGGUGUGGUGGAUCGGUAGGGAUGACAAUUUUAUUGGACAGAUCCUAAUGGUUUUGAAGGUAAAAAGAAGAACAAAAGAAGAAAAAAAAGGAAUGUUCAGUAAAAUAAAUUGCGAAUGAACAGGGAUAUGGUAAAGGUACAAGAGAUAAGGUGAUGAACUGACCUCGGGAACAGCGAAGUUGAUGGCCAUCUCUUCACGAAAAGGGUGAUCGAAGACUUUGAGGUUUAAGAAGAAAGGGCUUCAUUGGAGUUCUUGGAGCUCUCGAAUAGCGCCACCGCCAGGAAAGUGGAGUUGGGGCUGUAGAAUGAUGCGAUGGAGGAGGAGUGCCAGAGAAGGAACUAUUUAUAGGACAAAAUGGGCAAGAGUAAAUCUGACUUAUCACAUCGCCGUAUCCGUGAAAUCUGAGGAUACUCAGGAAGAUAUGGUAACUAUUCGCACAGUAAUCAAGGGAUUGCGCAGAUGAUUUGACAGGAAGCAGUCGUGAUCUGGAGAUGUUUUACUGUGCGAGAUUUCCUGGUCAAUCCAUCGGCAGCGCCUUGUAACGGUAAUAUUGCCGAUGGACGGAUAAAGUGGGGGUAUCCGUUUGGGAGGAUAAGAUACUUUACUGUACAUGGCGUUUUGGUCAGUCCAUCGGCAGUUCUCUGUAACGGUAACAUUGCCGAUGGGCGAUUAAAGUGUAAAUGUCCGUUUGGGAGGUUGAGGACUUCAAGGAAUCUGCGGAGGAACCAGACCAGGGUUGUUCAAAUUAAGGCUGUCGGUUACCAAAUUGGGAGAAUUAAUUGCGGAAAGGCAUCAUUACUGCAGAGAAUCUUGGAGCAUUAACGAUUUCAUACUCCGAAAUUGGGGGGCAUGUGUUGAUACCAUUUUUGAACACGUAUCCAGGAUCGGUAGAGUGUAGGUCGGCAAGAUAGGGUGGCAAUACUUGGUCUGCAGGAGAAGUUGCCGAUGAGGAUGGUUGCCGAUGAAGGGACAGCCGAAUAUGACUAAGUCCAAGGGUGAUGAUGUGUUUGUGCCGAUGGUCAGCGUUAACCUGUGCCGAUGGCUAUGAUUGGGGGGUCUGCCGAUGAUACGGAAGAAGAACGUGGAGGUUGCCGAUUAGCCUGUGAAGGUGUCCCAGUUUGUCACGGGAGGAUAGUUUUAUGUUUUCCUUAGUUAUUUAAGUCGUUUUGUGUACGGAUUCUAUUUAAUUUGGAAUUCGAGUUCUAGUCGCGUCUGGUUGUAGCUUUUGAGCAGGGUAUAAAUAUAGACCCAAGGGCCUUGUAUGACAUCUAACAAUCAAUCAAUGAAGCACAAGCUUUUACUCAUAUUCCAGUAUUUACUUUUUCGACGACUUCAUCAUAUUUUCCUUUUUCAUUACGAGUUCUUAGGAGUUCGUCGACUUAAGCUCGGCGUAUUCUCAAGUUCUGCGUGAAUACCUCUUGGCCGUAGCAUCCGGGCGCAUCGCUGUUGUCGGGACCAAAGUAUUCGAGUUAUCACCUUUGCCGAUAGUAAGGUCAAAAUCGGCUGGCACGCCUUAACGUUUAAAUCGGGUAUUAGCCCUUUGUGUUUGCAGAUCAGCUUUUGCAUCAACAUCGCCAUAACGCCCUCAAUCUGGUCGAAUCAUCUCUUACGAUAUUUCGCCAUCUUCAUUACAUCCUGUGCAUUUCAAAUAUAUAUGUGAACAUGUUCUUUAAUUCCCUAAAUGCAUUUAAAGGAAUCAUUUUGAGUCUAGUUGGUUUUACCUUGACUUUGGCGAUGAGGUGCUUGGCGGCAUAUUCCACCCGCUCCACCUCCUCCACCUCGGCAAUCUUCUCCUAACCGGCCCAGAGGUCUCCACGUUGGCGCUAGACAUAAAUAUGCUGACGCCCGUCACGUGGGUGCUCCUGGAUCUCCUCCACUUCAUCAUCCGAGCUCGCCUAGGGUUCCUCAUCACAGGCACUGCUCCUCAUCAUAGUUGAGUGGGCUAUCGAAACUUUAUCCUGAUCAGCUACAUCAGGCAGUGUCGUUGGUCAGUUGGAUGGCGCUUCCAGAGGAUCGGUGGAGGGAGCCCCGCUUGCUCUAUCGGCAGGUCGCUCGGUGGAAGCACGUCAUCUUGAUCGCCCAUCCACACUCUGCUCGGGGAUGUUACAGGGCAUUCCGAUAGAGGCUGCUUGGUGGACGGUUCCACCACUCUCAAGCCUUCACUCCUAAUCACGCUUAGGUCUACAUCGGAAGCCGUCCUGUGAAGAUUUUGCAUUACAUUAAUUGGGACUGGCUAAGUAUUUCUAUUUUGGCAAGAGAACUUUAACUUACAGGUCAGAAGCACGAUGGGAUGUAGAAAAUACUCUACGCCUGGCACGUCUAGUCGCUGCUGUAAACCCUAGUGUUAUGGUAGCAUUCUUUCACGUGCAUAACAUGAGUAUCAUCAUCUUCAUAAGCAUACCAUGAUCAUCAUUCACCUUGGGUCAUGUCAUUUUAUGCAUAAGUGUGGUUUAACUUGCUUAAUUAUGCCUUCUAUGCUUAUACUUGUUUGUACCAUGCUCUUGUUUGUGUUCUAUGCCUUGGUAAAUAGUUCAUCUAUGCUUAACUCAACAUUUGGAACAAUGUUCAUGUUGGUCACAUCUCCAAAUUAAGUAUCUAAGUCAUACUUUCACUCAUAGGCCCUAAAAUCCACUUUUUCUUAGGCUUUUAAAAACAGGUUCAUAAAAUGUUUGCAUGUCAAAACUUCCUAAAGCAUAAUUGUAGCAAAUUUUAUAAGGAACAAAAGUUAUUACAUGGCCAUCUCAUGCAAAUGAACACAACUUGCUUGAAAAGUGCUUACAAGGUAGAUUUGGGGGCUGUUUUGACACUUAGCAAAAAUUUUGCUAAGUCCUGGCGCCACCAGUUUGCCUGAUCGAUUUUGGGAGCCUCAUAUCUUUUCAUCCAUGUCGAAUUGGUCUUUGUUCCAGUUGACAAACUUGUAGAACUCGAUUAGUACUCCAUGAAUGUCAACUACACCAUCUCCUAAUUCGCCACGGUUUGGAAGUUAAUCAACGCCAAAGUAGCUCCGUCAGACAAGCGAUGCACCUGGCUGCCAUUUGGUGACCGUACGCCAGCGCUGGCCCCAUUCGUCAGGUCGUUGAUGCUGUCAUGGACGCCACGCCACACCGCACUCGCCCAGCGCCCGUCUAGUCUCUCCCACCCUCUCUCUCGCGACUCCGACGGCGAAAACACCAUCGCCAUUGCCGCCGAGAGCUUCGCGAGCUCCUCGUGCUCUCGUCUUCAUGUCUCACCUCUCCUCCGAGCAUCUCCGAGUUUGCCUCGAGCUCCUCCAUCUUCUCCAGCUCUUGGCUGGCCGAGAUCUCUCCAAGGUGAGCCGCAUUCCGCAGGAUUGCCGUCGUCGGGUUCACAGCCGUCGCGACCCCGAUUCAGGCGAACCUCACCGCUGCUCCAUCCCCAUCUUCUUUCUUCUCUUCGAGUCACGUUAGAGCUUGCCUAGGUCACGGUCAUGGUUUGUGUCACGCCAUUCCGGCCAUGGUGACACCGUCGGGCAGGAACACGGCCACCGCACCGCCGCGCUCACCGCCGACGGCCACCCCGCACGUGAGCAGACUCACUGGAGCCGUUAGGGUUAGGCCUUUCUACCUAGAAAGCUCCACGCUGUCUCACUGAUGCUUAAGCCGCCCUUCCCCGAUGCUCUACCGGUCGGAGAUGGCCGGCGUAAGCCGAGGUAGCUCCGCUGUGCCGCCACGGCCGACGGCGACCCCUUUCCGUCGCUCCAACCCUAGAGCCACCUACCUCUAUCGACGCGGAAUGACUCAAGGAGCACACUGAUGCCCUUGGAUCCAUCGGAAGAGCUCAUGGUCGGCGAGCAUUCGCCGGCGAGUGUGUUCUCUGUUCCUGUGACGCUAACACGCGGGUCCCACUGUCAGUGGCACAACGGCUCCCUCCUCUCUUUUCUUGCAAUCUUGCAAAAAUCAUAUCUCCAGUUUCUGAUCUCCAAAAGUUGUGAAACAAAUUUUUUGAUGAUCCAUGAGAUGUCUAGUUUUUAAUAAAAAUAUAGUAUGUACCAUGUUUUCUGUGAAAAUAAUUGUUAUGAAUUAAUCUUGUUAAUUAUGUGUAAAUUCAUAUCUCUUGAUAUACUGCUCUAAAUGUUGUGAAAUUUUUGUGUUAUGCUUUGGAUAGUGUUAGAAUGCUCUGAUAAUUAUUUUAUGAUUUUUGGAGUGCUGUAUCUCUAAUAUGUAAUUUAUGUUAAUACUAUGGCCUAAUUUUAUGUUUAAAUCAUAUUAAAUGUUAUAUACUUAUUCUGGUGUUCUCCUUUGGUGUCAAGCUUGUUCAUAGUAGUAGUAACAUGUAAAUAAUCUGAAAUCUGUUGUUUGACACUAUCUAAGCCAUGUUUCUUAAUUUAUGCAAUAAGUACCUUGUUACAUGUUAAUUAAUUAUCUUAAGUUUGGCAUGUGCAAUUGCUCUGAAAUUUUUUAGUAAUUUCCAGGUGCCAUGCUUGUGCUUCUGUAAUUUUGUAGACUUUUCUGAGCACUCUUGCUGGUAUCUUGUAAUUAUGUCUUUUUUAUGGAAUUAAAUUAAUAAAUGCCUUGUUGUUAAGUGUUUAGUAGUCAACAUGUGGUUUUCUGGUAAUAUUAGGUUGUGCUUGUGCUUAUAAGCCACUUGGUUGUUACUAAAUAUGUUCUUGCUAUGUCAUCAAAUAAUUAAUUAAAGGUAUAUAGCUGUUCUGGACAGCAAGGGAGUAAUCUGAUUUUUGUCUAUGAUAACCUUGUUUUCUGAAAGACUUGUCUAUAUCAAAUAUGUUGUAAACUUUGUAUGCUAGCUGCAGUUUAAAUUUGGGAUCAUUUGGUCCAGUAGUUUAAAAGUUAUGGCUUUUCCAAGUUAAGUUCCAGAACUAGGUGCUCUAUGUUUUUCUGGAACAGAACCUGGAACUUUGUUUAGUUGACCUGUUUUAACUUGUGAAUCUUGCUGUGAUGUCUAAAGAGGAAAUGUAAACAAUUUCAUAAGCUUUCUAGAAUGUCCUCAUUCGUGUUAGUUGGAUCUGUAUAGCAUUAGUUAUGAAUUGUUCUUUGAGCUGCUCUGUUAUUUAGUUGUUGCUAUUUAAUGGUUUAAGCUGGUGUGUUCUUGUAGUUGAGGUGAUACUCUUUUGUGACCUUAUAAUAGAAGCUUACUCUGUAAAUGAGUGUCCAGUGAAGUUUAUAAUCAUGUCUCCAAGCACUCACCCUCAUCUAGUGUGCACACAUGCCUUACUUAUCGUGCAUGCAAUAGGUGCAUCGGAGGUGGCAACAUCGUUCGAGCUCGAGAGGGUGAACCACGAGGGCCCGGAGAUCACUCAGGAGGCGGAGGCCCAGCCAGCAGGACAAGAGGAGCCCGAAGAGGAGGUCGAGAGCCCUAGUCAUGAGCCCGCUUUGUUCGUGAAAGGCAAGCCCCGGAGCAUCUUAAGUCUCCCACUUUAAUUUCAAAGUAUACUUGAAGAUGUUAUAUCUAUUGAUGCAUUACGUAUAGGAGUUGGGAUGAAACCCUUGCUGCAUUAUACCUUUCCUUGCCCAGAUAUCUUAUCACUACCUGGUUGUAGAGUUAGGAUCGAGUAGCAGCUUAGCCAUGCUUUAAUCGGUAGAAGUCAGUCAGGUGAUAUCCUGUCACCUGCGCGAAAUAGGGUUGUUGUUGGAUCACGAUUGACUAUAUGUGCUAUCGUGGGAAAGAACCUAGUUUAAAAUAACUUAAGCCGGGCGGAGUUUUGCAAGGUGGUAGUAAAUCUGUCUGUGGCAGCUAAGGACUGAUCGUUAUACGACCUCUUGUCAUGUUGAACGCAUGCUUGACACUUAGUUGGCCGGAUAACUCGUUCCGACCGUAAAGCCUAGUAAUAUGACUCAGGCCGGAAGACCGGCAAGUAUAAAGUGUGCACUACCAGAGGAAGUGCGUUGUGCGGGGGCCAUUGGCGUAAGACCAAAGGCAUGUGAGUUAAAAGUCCUGACCUCCGUGGCAGAGUGGCAGCCCUGGGAGUAUGGCGCUGACCGGAGCCGCGAUUCCUGAGCCGUACCAAAGGUGACCCGCUUGCUCUCCAAUGGGGGAUGCAUGGGUGAGUGCUAGGAAUAACCCUCUAGCUGGAUAGGAAUUGACUCGAACCGCCGUCUCUCCCAGAUAGUGAGAAUUGACAAAGCAACGCAAAUGUAGCAUCCACUAAGUACUAAUGGUUCUUAAUGAUGAUGUUGAGGAUAGCAAGAAGGAACAUAUGAUGAAACUUGAUAUGGUUAUUAUUGUUUGCUAAAAAUCAAGUGAAGUGCUUAGUAUAGGUGCUAAUCUAGUGGUAGGCUAAUAAUAAUCAAUAUGAUGCUUUUACGAACGGUUUUCUAUCCAAUCUAAGCUUUUGGCAAAUGUUUGAGUCAAGCCAGCUACACUUUAUAUCAGCCUUGCAUGAUCCUUGGUGUCUUUGAUUUUAGUUAGACGGGUAAGUCUAGCUAAGUACAUCCUCGUACUCAGGGUUUAUUCCCACCUGUUGCAGAUGAUGUCUUUUAUGAUGGCUUCUACAAGACCUGCCUUCAUCCCGCUAGGGAUGAGGACUAAAACGUUGGGCGCGGUUCUCUAACAACUUCGUACCCUGAUGCUUUUGGUGGAUGAUAUGAGACUCUGGCAGUAACAAGAACUAAUGAAAUGUGUGUGUGUAAACUAUUUUGCUUCUGCUACUUCAAACUUGUGUUGUAAUAACUAAGUACUCCGAUGUGGUGCCGCUUCGUCGGUAAUGAAUGAACUAUGUAACAUUCGCUGUAUUGUGUUGGACUAUUACGAUCUUGGUAUGUUGCAUAGUUGGUUUGAAGUCCUUCGUGAUUUUGGUGGACUAUUGGGAUUAUAUGGGCUCAUGUUUGGAAACUUGAUUGCUAGAUCGAUCAUUUCUACACUUGAACUCUUAUAAUUUGGUCGGUUCUGUGACUGCUGCUGCUGGCUGCGGCUAUUCUAGAUGCGUCUGAUUGCUUACAGUUGUGGCGGUGGUCAGCCCCGUCGGCGGUUGUGUGUUUGAUGGCGAAAUGACUUUGGGGCAUCUCCACGACCGGUGGACUACAUCGGGAGCCCCCUCUUCUUCUUCUUCUUCAUAGUCGUCAAGCACCCGGAGUACUCGACGACACUUUGGCACUAGAGCUUUAGCAGGUGAUUCAGGGGUGGUCGACGGGCCUUGAGCUCAUCUCGGCGAGGCUCCCCUCUUCCUUGAUGGCUCAGAGGUCAUCGGUCUCUUGCCUGCGGCCCGGCCUUUCGUGGAUGGCACCUCCUAAUCGGCAUCCUCGUCACUGCUGGUGUAUUGAUAACACUGGGCCAUGUUCCGCAUUGGUUGAUCCACUCCCGUUGGCUGCUCCAUGCCAGGGGCUAGUGAAACGAAGACUGAUGCCCAGUCAAGAUCUCCAAUAUGUCAAAUCACGCAAGUUCAGCGGUCAAGACAUGCAUUGCAGAUUAAAUAACUCAAGAUUGUUUUCAGUUACCUUUGGUUGUGGUUGGGCCAAUUUGUAUGCAUGCAUACGAUCGUCACUGGCGACAAAAUUGCUAUCAGAAAGGUUGAAGAGCUUGUUGAUCCGGUGAUGGACUUCUACCUUUUCAAUCCUCUCCUUCUUCAUCCGGGUGGAGUCUAGGUUCCCUUGAUACUCAUACCCAGAGUGUACCCUCCUCUGGCAUGGCUGUACUCAGCGGCAGAUGAAGCUCCUGACCACACCAGGCCCGUCCAAAUGAGACCACUAAAUCAAGUUCAUGAGUUCCUCAAUUUGAUUGGAGUACUCUGGUCGGUCCGUCCAGCUCGCCCUCUUGUCUAGCACAUAUCCCACACCACAUAAUGUGGCAUUGCUCGGUUCUUCAUGGAUGUAGAACCAUUUCUUGUACCAUUCUAACAGAGAAGUGUUCUAGGGGCAGCUGAGGUAGAAGUUCUUCAUUCUGUCUUAGAGGUUGAGGUACACUCCACCCGCAACCCUCGAACCUCCAACGGCCCCCUUUUUUCUUAGACAGAAGAGAUAGCGAAACAAAUCAAAGUGUGGUUCUAUGCCUGCAAAAGCUUCACACAAAUGAAUAAAGGUAGCAACAAGAAGGAUGUAAUUGGGAUGCAAAUUGCAAAUCCCAAUCUCAUAAUACAGAAGAGGACAUUGGAGAAAAGGAUGAAUUGGGACCCCAAAACCCCUCUUAAAGAAAUCUUCAAAAAUGAUGAUCUCACCAGGUCUCGGACCGGGGAAGCUUUCUCCAAAGGGCGUCCUCUAGCCUGCUAGUUCUUAGUUAUGCAGGAGUCCCAUGUCAACGAGCUCCGAGAGGGAUUUGGUGUUGGAUUUGGAUUCCCACCACUCCUUGGCCAUCAUUUCGAAUCUUUUCUUUGCGUCACUCUUGGCCAUUUGGUUGAAGCAGACGAGCUCUAGAUCCUGCUGCUAGAUGGGGCAGAGGAAGGAAGAAGACGAAAGACUGGGAAAGGCAACUGCUUGUUGCAAAUCUGAUGCUGCCCUUCCUCGGUUAUUUAUUAUGGAGUAACCACCCCUUCCACUUCCCGCAUCUUAGGGAAAUGUGUGAUUUUUGCAGCAAGAUCGCCGUUUUAGUUCCCAAUAUUGUUCCCAAUAUUUGUUUAAUGAUCAUUGGGACUACCUUUAUGCUUUGGUUCUUGUGAUGGGCGGCUUGGUUUCAAUGGGCUCUUCUUUUCACACUCUAGUCUGACAUUUUGCCAGCCUUAGGGAGACAAAGCAACGUCACAUAGCCAAGAAGGGUAAUUGUUUUUUAAGAAAAGUCUGGAGGAAGUUAUUUAUGGUAAGAAAUUAAUUGACUGUGUCACAGAACCGACCAAAUUAUAAGAGUUCAAGUGCAGAAACAAUCGACCAGCAAUCAAGUUUCCAAACUUGAGCCCAUAUAAUCCCGGUAGUCAACUGAAAUCAUGAAGGACUUCAAACCAACUUGCAACAAACCAAGAUCGUAAUAGUUCAACACAACACAACGAAUGUUACAUAGUCAUUCAUUGCCUGCGAAGCGGCACCACAUUGGAGUUAUUAAGUUAUUACAACACAUGUUUGAAGUAGCGGAAGCAAAAUAAUUACACACACUUUCCAAAGUUCAUUUCACAAGUUCUUGUUUAGCCAAGGUCUCAUGCCAUCCAUCCAAAAGCAACAGAUACGAAGUAGUUAGAGAACCGCGCCCAAUGGUUAGUCCUCAUCCCCAGCGGGAUGGAGAUAGGUCUUGCAGAAGCCAUCAUAAAAGAUAUCAUCUGCAACAGUUGGGAAUAAACCCUGAGUACGAGAAUGUACUCAGCUAGACUUACCCGUCUAGUAAAACAUAAAAGACACCAAGGAUCAUGCAAGGCGAAUAUUAGGUGGAGCUGGUUGACUUGACAGUUGCCAAAAGCUUAAAUUAUAACUACAAUGUUGUGAGAGCAUCAUAUUAAACAUCAUCAGCCUACCACUUGAUUAGCACCUGUACUAAAGCACUUCACUUGAUUAUUACAAGCAAUAAUAACCAUAUCAAAUUCAUCAUAUGUUCUUCCUUGCUAUCAUCAUUAUCACGAACCAAGUUCAUUAGUGAAUGCUACGUUUGCCGCUGCUCUGUCACGUUCUCACUGACCAGGAGUGACGGCGAUUCGAAUCGAAUUCCUAUCCAGCUGGAGGGGUAUUCCUAGCACUCACCCAAGCAUCCCCUGCCGGAGAGCCAACAGGUCACCUUUGGUACGACUCAGGAAUCGCGGUUCCGAUUAGCGCCGCACUCCUAGGGCUACCACUCUGCCAGGGAGGUCAGGAAUUUUAACUCACCUGCCUUUGGGCUUACGCCAAUGGUCCCCCACACACCGCACUUCCUCCGGUAGUGCGCACUUUAUACUUAUCGGCCUUCCGGCCUGAGUCAUAUUACUAGGCUUCGCGGUCGGAACGAGUUAUCCGGCCAACUAAGUGUUAGGCAUGCGUUCAACAUGACAAGAGGACGUACAACCGUCGGUCGUUAGCUGCCACAGACGGAGUUACUACAACCUUGCAAAACUCUGCCCGGCUUAAGUCAAUUUAAUCAGGUUCCAUCCACGAUAGCACAUAUAGUCCAUCGUGAUCCGACAUAACCCUAUAUCGCGCAGGUGACAGGAUAUCACCCGACUUCUACCGAUUAAAGCAUGACUAAGCUGCUACUCGAUCCUAACUCUAUAACCAAGUAGUGGUAAGAUAUCUGGACAAGGAGUGAGUAAAAUGCAGCAAAGGUUUCAUCACAACUCCUAUACUUAAAUGCAUCAAUAGAUAUAACAUAUUCAAGUAAACUUUCGAAAAUAAAGGGAGACUUAGGAUGCUCCGGGGCUUGCCUUUCACAAACGAGGCUGGUUCGUGAUUUGGGCACUCAAUCUCUUCUUCGGGCUCCUCGAGUCUGACUUGCUGGACCUCCACCUCCGGGUUGCCCUCCUGACCUUCGGGGUUCACAUGAAGCUCGUAGGAGGCGGUCGCGUCCGGUGCACCUAUUGCAUGCUCGAUGAAUAAGAAAGUGUGCAUACUAAACGAUGAAUGCUUGACACAUAAUUAAACUCACUGGACACUCAUUUACGGAGUAACGGUUAUAACAAGUUCACACAAGAUGAUAAGUUAACUUAGCCAAAACCUAUCAAGUUACUAUCACAGCAAGCAUCACAUAACAAAGUUAGCUCAGUAAACAGAUCAUAACUAAUGCUAGACAGAUCCAACACACAAGAGUGAGGACAUUCUGGAAAGCUUAUGAAAUUGGCUACAAAUCAUCUUUAAACAUCACAGCAAGAUUCAUAAGUUAAACAAGCCAUUUAAACAAAAUUCCAGGUUCUGUCACAGAAAAACAGAAAACACCUAUUUCUGGGAUCCAACUUGGAACAGCCAUAACUUUCAAACUACUGGACCAAAUGAUCCCAAAUUUAAACCACAGCUAGUUCAUAAAGUUUACAACAACUUUGAUUUAGACAAGCCUUCCAGAAAACCAAGUUUUUCAUGAGCAAAGAUUGAAUUACUUCCUUUCUGUCCAGAACAGCUUUUAACCCCUUUAAUUAAUUAUUUGAUGACAUAGCCAAAGCAUUAACAAUGUCAACCACGUCCCUUAUCAACACAAACACAUCAUAAGACAACCAAAACAUCAUAUGAUAACUUCUAAACAUUUAUCAACAAGGCAUUUAUUAAUUUAAUUCUAUAAAGGAGCAUAAUUACAAGAUACCAGUGAAAGUGCUCAGAAAAAUCUACAAAAAUUACAGAAGUACAACCAUAGCAUCAUGACAUUACCAUAAAAAUUUCAGAGCAAUUGCACAUGCCAAACUUAAGAUAAGUAUUUAUCAUGUGACAAGGUGUUUAUUUCAUAAAUUCAGAAACAUGGCUUAUAUGGUGUCAAACAACAUAUUUCAGAUUAUUCAUAUGUUACCAAUACCAUAAACAAGUUUGCCACCAAAGUAGAGCACCAGCAUAAGCAUCAAUUAUUUACUAUGAUUUUAAUAAGAAGACAAGCCAUAUCUCAAUCAUAAAUUACAUAUCACAGAUAUAGUACUCCAAAAAUCAUGAAAUAUUUAUCAUAGCAUUCUAGUACCACACAGAGACUACCAUAAAAAUUUCUAAGCAAAAGAAGCAGUAUAACAAGAGAUAUGAAUUUACUCAUGAAUAACAAGAUUAAAUCCUAAUAAUUAUUUUCCCCAGAAAACAUGGUUCAUUUUAUAUUUUUACAAAACAAUAGCCAUCUCAAAGAAUCUCAUAAAAUUAUUUUCACAAUUUUUGGAUCUCAGAAACAAGAGAUAUGAUUUUUGCAAAAACAGCUCAAACCCUAAAUCAAACAUGGAGAAAGAAAGAGAGUGACAGAGGGACCCCACGGGUCAACAAACCCCACAUGUCAGUGACCCAAGAGCAGAGGCGCGACUUGACCGCCGGAGAUCUCGUCGACGGCGAGGUCUCGGCGAGGGCCAAGGGCACCAUCGUGCUCCCCACUCCAUUCCGCAUCGAGCGGUACCCGAAACCCUAACUCUACCGGACCCCUAGGUACCUCGCCCUCGCGAAUGGCGGCACGGCGGUGGUGCGCGGCCGACCGCCGGCGUCCCUGGCCGGAGAUAGAGCGAAAGAGAAAGCGGACAAGCACCAGCAUGACCUAGCGGAGCUUUUGGGACAAGAAUGAGGAGGAAUGGUGGACUAUAGAGCCCUGGCCACGACGCCGGUGACCAUGGCGGAGCUCCGGCGAGGUAAGCUCGCGACGGAGAAGACAAUGCGGGCUUACCGAAGCUCGGCAGCGGCAGCCAACUCGACGACGGUGUUGCGGGGAAGCUAGCGGAGCGAUGGACGGAGUCGCUUGGCCGGAGACACGAAGACACACGCACGCGAGCUCGCCGAAGCAACGGCACCGACGCGGAGAAGACGACGCACGCGCGAGAGAGAGAUAGAGAGAGAGAGAACCGGGAGUGGAAUGGUGCUGUCCACGCGACCGGGGGCACCGUGGCGAGCUGUAGGACGCGCUGAGGACUGACGAGCGGGACAAUCGGCGACAUACGGAUGCCACGGGUCCAGACACGCGGCGUCACCGGCGAGCUCCCCUGAACUGACGGCAACUCCAUUCAGUCGUUGAUCCCGACUGAAACCCGAUUUUGCAGCGCGAUUAUCUCCUAAUCCACUCGAUGAUUUUGCUGGCUAUUUGCUCUAUGCUGGAGAGCUACAUGAGUACUCCAACAUUGCUUACAAGAUCAAGGCCAGAUUCGGUCUAGAAUUCAAACUGGAAGCUAAGCAACAUACCCUCGAGCAAACUGUUGCGAUCCUGGACUUAGAAAAUUUUCUAAGUGUUGGAAACAGCCCCAAAUUUGCCUUGUGAGUCACUUUUGAGCUAGUUGUCGUCAUUUUCAUGAGAUGAUGAUAAAACAACUUUUGUUCCUUAUAAAAUUUGCUACAAUUUUUCUGUAGAAAGUUUUGACAUGCAAACAUUUUAUGAAACACUUUUGAAAAGCCUAAUCAAAAGAGGUUUCUAGGGCCUAUUUGUGUAAGUAUGACUUAAGUGAUUAUUUUGGAGAAGUGAUCAACAUGAACAUUGUUCCUAAGGUUGAGUUAAGCAUAGAUAAACUAAUUACCAAGGCAUAGAGCACAAACACAAGCAUGGUACACUCCAACACAAGCCUAGGAAGCCUAUUUAAACAACUUAAAUCACAUUUUUGCAUAGAAUGACAUGACUCAAGGGAGAUGAUCAUGAUAUGCUUGAGUAGAUGAUGAUGCUCAUGUUAUGCAUGUGAUUUAUGCAACCAUAACACUGGGGUGUUACAGACUGGAUGUUAUGAUGACUAUCGAGUAAAAUCAGAGGUCAACUAAGCUCGGGGUCUGGUCGACUAUUUUCUAUAACAUAUUUAGAAACUGUGCCGACCACCGAGCAGGUUUAUGUUUACCAACCAAGCUCAAGGACUUGUCCAUCAGUCUCCAAGCUGUGCUUAGGGACUACGCCAUCCACCGAGCACGUUGUUUGUGCAAAAGCUGAUCUGCAAACACAAAGGGCUAAUACCUGAUUCAAACGUUAAGGCGUGCCAGCCGAUUUGACCUUACUAUCGGCAAGGGUGGUAACUUGAACACUUUGGUCCCGACAACAGCGAUGCGCCCGGAUGUCACGGCCAAGAGGUAUUCACGCGGAACUUGAGAACACGCCGAGCUUAAGUCGACGAAUUCCUAAGAACUCGUAAUGAAAAGGAAAAAGUAUGACGAAGUCGUCGAAAAAGUAGAUGCUGGAAUAUGAGUAAAAACUUGUGUUUGAUUGAUUGAUAGAUGUCUCAUUACAAAGCCCUAGGGUCUACAUUUAUACCCUGCUUAAAGAGCUACAACCAGACACGACUAGAACUCGAAUCCCAAAUUACACAGAAUCCGUAUACACAACGAUUUAAACAAUUAAGGAAAACAUAAAACUAUCCCCCCUGACAAACUGGAACGCCUCCACAGACCAAUCGGCAGCUUCCAGACUCUCUCUCUAUAUCAUCGGCAGACUCCCUCGCCAUAGUCAUCGGCAGACUUCCUUGUCGUAGCCAUCGGCACAGGCACAUCACCACUUAUGGACUUAAUCACGUUCAACCCCUCCUUCAUCGGCAACCAUCCUCAUCGGCAACUCAUCCUGUAGAUUAAACACCGCCGUCUUACUUUGCCGGCCUAUACUUUACCAGACAUGGACACGUGCCCAAAAACGGUGUCAACACAUGCCCCCCAAUUUUGGAGUAUGAAAUCAUUGAUGCUCCGAAAUUCUCUGCAGUAAUGAUGCCUUUUUCCGCAAUUAAUGCUCCUAAUCUGGUAACCGACAACUUCAAUCUGAACAAAUCCUCAACUUCCCAAAUGGGCAUUUCCAUUUUAGUCGCACAUCGGCAAUAUUACCGUUACAAAGACUUGCCAAUGUACUGACCAGGACGUUCGUACCCUAUCUUCCUAAACGGCUAUCUCCACUUUAUUCGCUCAUCGGCAAUAUGACCGUUACAAAGACUCUGCCGAUGGACCGACCAGGAGAUCCUGCACAGUAAAAUAUCUCUGGAUAAUGACCGCUUCCUAUCAAAUCACCUGCGCAAUCCCUUGAUUACCGUGCGAACAGUUACCAUAUCUACCUGAGCACCCUCGGAUUUCACGGAUACGGCAAAGAGAUAAGUCAGAUUUGCCCUUGCCCGUUUUGUCCUAUAAAUAGUUCCUUCUCGGGUACUCCUUCUCCAUCACAUCAUUCCACAACUCCAACUUCACUUUCCCGGCGGCGGCGCUGUCCAAAAGCUCCAAAAUCCUCGACGAAGCCCCUUCUUCACCAACUCCGAAGCUCUCAAACAUCUCCUCCGUGGUAAAACGGCCGUCAACUUCAUCGUUCCGGAGGUCAGUCCUUCGCGCCAUCUCUUGUACUUUUUCUCGCACCCCUGUUCAUCCGCAAUCCAUCUUACUGAACAUUUUCUCUCCCUUUUUUUUCUUUGUGUUUUUCUUUUCCAUCUCCAAAACCACUAGGAAUCGGCUAACAAAAUUGUCAUCCCCACUGAUCAACCACACCUCCAAUGCCUUGGCCCGCUAGGGGAUCCAGAUCCAACCAACCUCAUAAACGCAGAAACCAACAGGAUCCCUUUUAGAGCAGAGAAUUUUUCUUUGGAUCUGUGGAAGGAUACUUUUCUUUCCUGGCCCAGCCCUACCGUGGGGUGGAAGGAUUGGUUCUUGAGUGUC
rnacentral:lncRNA from 1 species